rnacentral:lncRNA from 1 species
CUAGUUGCACAGCCUUGCUCUACAUCUUCUGACGUUGAGGAAAUAAAAUCGAGGCAAAGACUUAAUUGCACCUUGUACAUCAAGAGCUUAUUCUGUCAUUAAUAUUUUUCUUUCACUCUGCAACUUCCUGAUUGUCACUGUUUGCUGUCAAAAGUUUUUUUGUUGAACUGCAAGCUUAAAGGCUCAUGAAUGAAAGGUGAUUGAGAUGCUCAAUUGGCUAAAUAUUAGUUGCUUGAAGGUGUCUGCAAUUUUUUUGGUAAAUUUGGUUAUGUGGUACCCAAUAUUUUAUUACAGAUAUACACGUGUGAGUAGAGAUAUGUUCUGCGUCUACGCUGCAAUUGCAAUGGAAUUGGGAUAUUUAGUAGGCCUGUCCUAAUGAGUCAGGCUUUGAUGAGUUCAAACUCAGUUCAUUUAAUUUGAAUUAUUUUCGAACUUCGGGCUAUGAGUUUCGGGUUCGUAAAUGUGAAGUUCAUACUCAACUCACAUAAUAUUCGAGUUGUGAGCCUUAAUCGGGUUUAGUCCAAAUUCACUUAUUACUUUUUAAUUUUCUUAAUAUAAUUACUGUAACUAUUAAGUUGUAAAACUAAUUUAACAUUUACAAGACUAUAAUAUUAAAACUAAACAUGAACAAAUAAUAGUUCUUAAAACGUAUAUAAACCAAAAUUUUUUUAAUAAUAUUUAUAUUUAAUCCAUUCAAAAUGCAUGAAAAAUAGUAAUAAAACAUGCAAUCAUAAACCAAUACAUCUUUAAAAGUUGAAACUUUUUUUAUAAUCUUGUGAUUGAAAUCCAAAUAUGCUUGAUGAUUUUUGUGUUUGUAGAUAAAAAAAAAAUCAACCAAUAUUAUGCCAAUACAAAAAUUUACUCAACCAAUAAAAAAAAUUAGAGAUUUAGUUAUGCAUUACCAAUAUUGGCUCUCAAGAAAGCUCAUGAAAGAGUUUUUAGAUGUAUUUUUGUGUUUUGUAAUUUAUGUAUAUAUUUAGUAUUUAGUAAUAAUAUAUUUGGAUAUAUAAUUAUACAUAAUAUCAAAAUAUAAAUAUUAUAUAUAUAGGUAAUUAAAGGGCCGGGCCUAUAUCGGGUUUGAGCCUAAUAAGGCCCAAGCUCGGCUCACAUUUAAUUCGGACCUAAUUUUUAGGUUCAGGCUUAGACCGGCUCACUAAAUGAUCGGGCUUAUCGGGCUUUUUGUCGGGCCGAAUGAGCCGAGCUCGGGCUGGCCCAGGCCCAUUGACAGUCCUAAAAUUUAGGACACAAAAAGUCAGCGAACGCAGAAUCUGAUGACAGAUAUCCGUUGCUUUUGGGUUAAUUUCGAUUUGCACCCUGCAACUACAUUCAAACUCUGGUCCCUAAACAUCAAAAUUGCUGAUAUCAAACCGGUUGUGGUUUUUGGGUUUUGGAUGCAGAGAAAAUUAAAAUUAACCAACUUGGAUGAGGGCUUGUGCAAUUGCUAUCGCAACUUGAAUGUGUUUGUACUUUUUUUUUCCCGGAAUUGUAUCGCAGUGUUUGAGUUUUGUGCGUAAUCCAAAAAAAAAUUAAAAUGUAAAAAAGUUGCUUUACACUUGUAGCACAUAUUAAUGCUUUUAAUAUGCUUGCGCAAGCUUUUGUUGUUUUAGUAUAUGCGUUGCAUUUAACCAUUGUUACUAGCGAUUACAGAGUCCCGUGAUCCUGAAUUUUACUAAUGUAGUAAUACUCAAGAAACAUGAAUUCUAUGUGAGAAAGUGAUGCUUUAGAAUGUAAACCGAAAAAAGGGAAAGGGUAAGGAAAAUAGAAAAAGUAUUCAACUAACAAGUUUGAUCCGAUAUUUACCAGUGAGAUUGAUGACCACGAAAUUUUUUAGACACACUUGGAAUUCUUCUUUUCAAAACAGCACAAACAUUUUACUGCAACAGAGAUUGCUUCACUUUGUUAAUUCGAGUGUGGGUACUUUUUCCUUACUAUAAUUUACAAUUAGGUUUUAACUAGAUAGUCAAUACUCCCAGCAAAGGUCCAAAAAAUGUGUCAACAAUUUCAAUUUUUUAAUAAUACUAGUUAUGAACAGAAGUCUGUUAAAAAGUUAACAACCUUGUUUGUACCCUUACAAUGAACAUAGAAGACUAAUAAUGUGCAAACCAACUUUAUAGCAAGAAGCGAUAAAGCGAUUGGGUUGUGGUUCAAUGGUUUGGGAAAGUCUCUUAGAAUUCUCCCGCGUACCAAGAUCUAGGGGGGUUGAAUUUCACUUGGUUUUAAGGGGAAGUAUAGUGUUUCCUUUUAUCAAAAAAUUCACAGAGUGCAGUAGUGCACCUGUUUGAUUUGGAGGUACACCUUCAACCCCAUAUAAGUUCAGCUGGGCUCCCUCCUCCCCUCUAUAGCGUAAGAAUAGAGUAGAUUGUUAACGUUAGAUUAAAAAAAAAAUGCAACAGCAAACUAAUAGGACAAUAGGUCACAAAACAGAUCAAAACUUUGGCAUGACCCACCCAUUUAUCCUGGUCUUGCAAAUCAACGGUGUGGAAUCGACUAAAUACAUACAAGUAAUGCGAAAGAUUCUCGACAGGUAUUGAGAAAAUGUGGACAAAUUACUUUUGUCAUAUGAUUAUUUUUUGAGUCAAAAUUUUGGACUAAUUUUAGUUGUUGUUCGAUUAUUUUAUUUAGAUCAAGAUUGCCCAUUUUCUCUGAAAAAAAAUGCUAAAUAGUUAGCACAAAAUCUAGUUUCUAGAGGAUUGCGGCAUGUAUGAUUGUGUGGCAUGUGGCUGUUGUAUUUUUUUUUUUAAUAAUUGGUAUUUACUUGAAUUAUUUUUUUUGAAUAGUUGGUUUACUCCUGAACAAGUUUAUUGAAAAAUUCUCCUUGAUUUAAAUCUUUUUCCAAGCUGAAACUUAAAAUCACAUACAAUCUAUUUCAUACGAACAACUCUAUAACUUGAAUUAAAAACCUAGGCUAAACUUUGAAUUUUGUCUUAAAAAUUUAAACACUAACUUUUCUCUUAUAGUUUCUAUUUGUAUGUAAAGCUUCAUUUUUUUUUUUUGUCGAAACAUUAGCUUUAUAGAAGUACUCCAAAAUUUACAAUAUUUGGACAAAGGUCCAGUCAUCAGGACAAUAGUCCUACCAAAACAUUAGUGCCUAGCACCUCAAGUUGGGAUUCACCCAUUCGUCAUCUACAAGGAUGUUUAGAGCAUGCAUGCUCAACUUGAUACUUCCUACAAAUCCUGAUUCAACAAAAGAGAAAGAACACUUUUGGAACAAAUUACUUAUGUACUGUAUAUCCUCCACCAGAGUAGCCAUCUGUUGGUUGCUGGUCCUUGUAUGUUUUAUGCACUCUACCAGCUCUCUAUCUUCCAGCUCCACUUUUAUACUCGUCCAGCCUUGACUGAUUGCAUUCAGUAGUGCAAGCCUCACCGCACCAGCUUGGUCUUGCUUUGUGUCUCCAGACAUUCUUUCCCUUAAUGCCCAGAUUGCUUGUAGACUACCUGCCGAGUCAGUAGCAGUGAUUUCAAUCCCCACCAUAUGUUGCCUUCUGUCUUGGUGAGUGUGGACCUUGAUCAUCAGCCUGGCUUGGUUCUCUCUCUGGCUUUGAUCUUGCCCAACACGUUCCAGUAUUUCUGUUCCCUGGGUGUUCUUCCUUGUCUCCUUCCCUCUGUUGGCCUCAUCAAAUUCCAUCCAUCCCUUCACAGCUUUUUGUAUAACCUUAUGAGGUUCCUUUUCCUUGUAUUCAAACUCCCUCUCGUUCCUGGCCUUCCAAAUCUGCCAGAGAAUAUUUAUGGUGAGGUUCACUUGGUCCUCCCCUCCUCUCUCUUCUUGAGCUUCCAUGAUUGCAGUCCACCAUUUGAUGAAACAGUUUGAUGUAUGCUGUAUUCCAUCCCAUUGUACAGGCGAUAGCUUCCAUACUUCCUUUACUUUGUUGCAUUGGAGCAGUAGGUGUUCUAUUGUUUCUUCCUCUUCUCCACACGCUGCACAUUUAGGAUUUCCUUGCCUUGUUCGUCUGUGAAUUUCACCUCUCACUGGGAGACCUCCAUGCAGACAUUUCCAUAUAAAUACUUUCAUUUUUUGGCACACUUUCUGCUUCCAUAGUGCUUUCCAAGCUCUCUUGAUAGAUCCUUCGUAGCUUGUCCCAGCAUCAUCCCUCCUUCUUAUACUCUCCAGCUCCUUAUCCUUCAUCCAUUUCUUAUAUCCAGAUUGAGUAGUAUAUUGACCACUUUGAGAGUGUACCGAGUAGUGACCAUCUUCCUUCCCUGUAAAGCUUAUAGGUAUCCUCAGUAUCCUUUCAGCAUCUUGUUGGCUGAAAAUUCUGAAUAUCAAAACAACAUUCCAUCUGUUGUUGACGAUAAGAUCUGACACAAGCUGUAGUUGACACCCCGGUGGCUUUGGUGUUGUUGGUUUCCCAUUUUUGCUGUCUGGAAUCCAACAGUCUUCCCAGAUUCUCGUUGCCUUGCCAUUUCCUAUCUUCCUCUUGACACCAUUCUGUACUUCUUUUCGCACAUCAGCUAAGCUUUCCCAAAUCCAGGAGGCAUUUUGAGGGACUUUACUGGUGAAUAAUGAUUGCCUGGGGCAGUAUUUUUCCUUCAGGACUCUACUGACUAGCAAGUUUGGUUGUGUUAACAACUUCCAAACUUGUUUGCCCAGUAAAGCUCUAUUGAACCCUUGCAAGUCUUUGAAUCCCAAGCCGCCCUUACUUCUUGAUUCUGUCAUCUUUCUCCAGCCAACCCAAUGCAUCCUUUUCUUUCCUUCUGUCUCCCCCCACCAAUAGUCUGCCAUUUUCGCACUAAUGUCUCUGCACAUCUUAGAGUUCAGUCUGAAGCAUGACAUGGUGUAGGUUGGCAUAGCCAUAGCUACUGCUUUAAGCAUGACUUCUUUCCCUGCCUGGCUUAGCAGCUUAUUUUUCCAGCUCUGCAGCUUCUUAUCAAUAGCAUUCCGUAUGUACCCAAACACCUGCCCUUUAGAUCUUGUUAUAAUCAUAGGGAGGCCGAGGUAUUGACCCUGUCCUAUCUGCUGAAUGGAUCCCAUUGAUUGACAGACUUCCUCUCUUACAGCUUGGGUUGUGUUUUUACUGAAGAAAUGAAGAACUCAAGUAUAUCAAUGAAUUUAAGAAAAUUAUUUUUGCAAUAUGUGAAAACCAUCUUUUUGCAAUAUGUGAUCUUUUUCUUUUUUUUGUUAUAAGGUCUCUGCCUCACCAACCGCCGUCACCAUUCCUCACCUCUGCAAUUUUCUUUAGUUUUCUUUGCUAGAGACCUUAUAACCAGUGAUUAGAAUAGGAAUAUAACUUCCUGCAAGUUCGUCAUGUUCUAUCAUCUUUAUUUCUCCAACUAUUUUCUUCUCUCUCAUACUCAUAUGGUACAAAAAGAUGGACAGGCCUAAUAAAAUUUUCUAUUGGAAUUUGACAGACCAUGAGAUUGGGGAAGUCAUCACCGGGAAGUACUAACUUUUUACAAAAUUGGGUGUGUUUAUUUUUUUUUGAGAUUUCUUCAUAAUCAAAUCUAGCCUAAGGUUGUGGGCAUUUGUUGCUAGGAAUUGGUAUUUGUGGAAGAAGAAAGAAGAAGGAUAGGGUAUUUGUGGGCAUAUUAGGACUUUCAUUCUAAUUUUGUGUUGACAUCAAGGAAAGUUAUGCAGUGAACGUUAGUUGGCUAACACUAGGGAUGGUUUUGUUAUGUAGUUUUGGUUUUGAGGGACCUUUUCAUAGUUUGGUCAAAUUUGAGAGACUGAUUAGUAAUUUGGCACAAUCUUAGGGGAGGUAAAUGUAAUUAACCCUUUUUAUUUUUGGUGUUGAAAGCUAGUUUCUACAUAAAACUGUCACUGAUAGUAAGUUUUUUAUUUGGUCUAUCAUUUGCUUAGGUCUAAACUCUGUGGGAAUGUCAUAAUUUACUAGGGCACUUCUUGCUACUUUGUUGAGCUAUAAGAGUAAUAGAUACUCCAAGAACUUGCUAAAUUUUCAAGGACCAAUGUAUCUAUCAUACGUGCAAGUACUUCCUACAUCUUUCUCUUGUACCAUCAUUUUACGCACAUAAUUCACAUAGAAUGAUACAAGAUAUAAUACAUUUGAGAUGCAUUCAAAUAAUUCAUUACAACAAAUAUACGUGUAACUCAUAUGGUGUAACAAAAAUAGUCUAGAUCACUUGCCAAGUGAUUCAUUGUCAUUCCAUGAUUAUUCAAUUUGUUUUCAUAUGAUAAUAAGCUUUUCACUCCCUUCAUACAUAGUGUCUUUGAUUUUCUAAAAUGUAUCUGAAUUGCACAUAUAGGUAUUCAAAAAAGGUGCCAAAAAAAAAAAGAAAUACCUAUGAUUGGUUGGGAAAGCCUAUCAUUUCUCAUCAAGUACUUAAAAGUUAAAAGACAAGAACAAAUAAUGAAUAUAUUUGAGUUUUGAUUAGGCAUUAGUUUAAAACUAUUAGUUUUAAAAUCUAUUGCAUCCAGUGGUUGUUUAUCGAAUUAAAGAUACACAGUAUACAACUUUCCCUAUUAUUUAGCUAUAAAGUGCUAUUUAAAUUCUAAUUCAUGAUAAUUUUGACAUGUCAAGUAUAAUUCUGAUAUGCUAAGAUGUUGCACUUCCGCUAGUGUAUAUUGGGAAAUUUUCUUAAUACUAUUAAUAGUUCACUUACAAACUCCUGAAACUUCACUUUUUCUAUCAUAUACAACAAUGCCUUGAGUUGCAUUAGAAAUUUUAUAGCCACCUAGCAUUGCCAAAUGAGUAGAAAAGGUCGUAGUUGUCAAGCAUAAUUCUAAUUCUAAUAUGCCAAGAGCUAGCACUUCCGCUAGUGUAUAUUUGGAAACUUUCUGAAUACUAGUAAUAGUUCACGUACAACUCCCGAGACUUCACUUUUCUAGCAUGUUAGCAAUACCUUGGUUUGGAUCAGAAGUUUUAUAGCCACAUGGCAUUGCAAAACCGGUAGAAAAGGUCACCGUUGUAAUUCUUAUGAAGAAUGACCACACAUGUGGAAACUUAAAUAUGGAUCUUGGUAAGAUCAAUUUGAACAAUUAUUUCACAUCUAUGUUGUCAAAAGCAAAUGGUUUCCAUUUUAACGCAAUUGAUUGAUUAUAAAUUAAGGAAAUGCACAAAAAUUUUGAUGUACGAAUAAUUGAACUACCAACUUGUAGAAAGCGCCUCUCUAUCUUUCUCCUCCUCCUUCCUCCUUCUCCCUCUUCCUACUCUCUCCUCCCCUCCUCGCCUAAACAGCCCUUCCUCUUCCUACUAGAAGUCAGUCGCGACUAGUUGGUCUUGACCAUAUUUGAUUUGGUCGAGGGGCUUGGUCGCGACCAAACCCAGGAUCUGGUGUGGUACUCAAGCUUUUGGAAUGAAAGAGGAUUCGAUUUGUUACAUAUUCUAAUUAUUCAAUUACUUAGUCUUGAAAAACACUAGCAUGAAUAGUAUUGAUCAGCAAUGAGGCCGAUAGCCUAAUGACUGUGAAAAUCUCACAGGACGUUCUAAUAUGAAAAAUGCUCAAUGAGCAUAUUAUCGUCCUCUAGGAAAAGCUCAUCCUCAAGCCUUCAAUAAGUAGUGCUAACAACCACAUGCAAAGGAACUCCUCUGUGCAGAUCAAUUAGUUUCAAUUCCAUGCAAAUUAGGAAUGCAAUUGCUAAUGUGUUGCCUAAAGAUAUCUAAAUACAACCACUUCUAUCAUAGUAUCAAGAAGUUGAAUGCAUUUGGCUAACUUUGGUGACUUGAACACUAAUAUAAAUCCAUGGUCCAAACCAUCAAAACUCUUAUAAAGCUCCUCAAAGAACACCAGCUAGUUUGUAACAAAAAAUAUCGUAUUUUACAAACUGGCAAUCCUAUAUUCCUAAAGGGUUCAAAUAGGUGAAAUGGUACAAAAUUGGAACAAUCAAGAUAUCCUCAACUCUUUUUGUAUAGGAAUUGAGAUGACAUAAUAUUUCCACAUAAGAUCAGUAGUUUAUGGAUCUCUAACUGACAAGCCUUCUAUUCUUCUUUACUUGUUAUAUAUUCUUGUUUUGGCAGUUAUGGUAGUAAUGCUUCCUCGUCAUCUUGUUAAUUAGAUUUAGUUACAAACUUAAAAUUAGCUACAUAUGCCCCAAUAAUUCUUCCUAAUUUGUCUCUUUGGCGAGAAGAUUUGCCAAUCUGUUUUGUCCCAAAUAAAUAGAAUGACAUUUGCAACACACAAAUUUCCAUUGGACAACAUAAAUAGCAUUGGAUAAAUCCUUAUAUUUAGGACUAAGCAACAUAUUGUAGAUCUUUUAUGGCUUUCAGUGAUAAUGUAUCAAAAUACAAGUUCAUAAGCAUAUUCUACUCCACAUUUCAUCUUUCAUAAUUUCAACUCAUAAGGGUUGUUGAGAUGUAUCUCUUUCUAUGAUAGCAUAGCAAGUUAUUUAAAACUAUUGACUUCUCAUCAACUAGAAGCUCCUCAUAUGAAUUGCGGAUUACAAUACUCAUGAUCUACCGCGAUGUCCACGUUCAUUCACAUAUGACGAUCAUGGUCGCAUCUAGUAAGACAUAAACCCAGAUACAGAAUGAGAGAGCACAAAAUGAGAUUUUUUCAUAAAAUUUUGCAUUUGAUUUGAUAAUGGGUUUGUAGAUUGUUACAUUUCAUAUUUAUGUGGGGGCAUGCAUUUAAUUUAUUGAAUUUUUUUAUUUAUUGGUGUUGAAUUAAAUCUUAUGUGGCUAAUUGAAUUGUUAUAUCUGGGAACUUAGGUAAUAAACAAUAAAUUGAAUGUAGGGGCUUAGGUCAAUAAUUGAUAAUGUUAAGGACUAAACUAUGCUUUAAAGAACAAAAAUGACACAAAAAAAAACCAUAGGACUUAUCCUAACACUGGUCAUGUUAAGAUUCUUUCCCCAAAACCAAGCUGUAGGUGACAUCUUAUACAUUAAUUAAGAUCCUUUAUAAAUAAGAUAUCAGAGUCUGUCAAACUCAUUUGUAGUAUUCUUGAAUUUUGAUCAGGGAUAAAAGAAUAAAAUUGCAGUUUGAAGGUAGUAUCAUGUUGGCUAAUGAAUGGGGAUCAUUAUGCCAAAAAUUAGGUCUAGUUUGCCUCACUAUCAUGUAAGCAGAAGUUUUGAUGUAAUGUCUUGAUAAGGGUUUAUAUAUACGUACAACACACACACGCAUAUACAGAUAUAGUAUUAUAUAUAUAUGUAUGUAUGUAUGUAUGUAUGUAUGUAUAUUAUAACUCACAGAUGAUAGGCAUGUAAGAAAAUUAGUCUUCAUCUACUAGUUAUAAAACUUACAAACAUAAAUGGAAAGAAGAGAGAAGGGCUGAGAGAAGAGUUGAAGGAUUCUUGAGACUAAGGAAAGGAAAGAUGAAGGAGACCAAGUGAAGCGUUAUAAUCACAAUCUUUUAAAUCUAUGUUGAUACAUGUAUGAAUGAAUAAGAAAUAUAUUUAAUGCACUAAAGAAGUAAUCAAAUAUUUAAGUUAUUGUGAGGACUUGGAAAUUCACCUAUAUUUUCUUAUAAUUCUCUUAUUUUGAAUAAGUUCAUUUAUAAAUUCCUUUUUCUACUAAUUUUACUCCCUCAAGUUGUAAUAUAUAAUAGAAUCGAGAGUUUACCUUUACUUUUAUAGUUAGCGUAAAUUAGGGUUUUUUGCGUAUUUUGGUAGUGUGAUUAAUCGUGGAGGUGUGUGUACUAAAUUAGGUGGUUAAGAGUGAGUUUUAGAUAAGAGGAAGUGUGUGAUUAGAAGUGCUAUUAAUAAGUUAGUGAAUCAUAAGUUAAAAUACAAGUACGAGCGAGUUAAGGAAAAUAGGCUUGAAACGACGUGCGCAGUUUAUUACCGGUUGAGUACACUGUUUGACCAAUACUUUUUUAUCAUAAUCUUCUUGUUUUUAUUCAUAUAAUCCUCCUUAGAUUAACCCUUAAGUCAGCCACCAUUAUUGACUAAGGAAAAGGAAAAAAAAAAAAGAAAGCAAAUCUUGAGCGACAAGUGUCGGCCAUCCAAGAGGGUUUGACCAAGACAAUUCUUUCCUUCUUAUCUUUCCUUUUGGCUACAUUUCUUUCAUUAUUUCUUCAUGGUGGCUGAAAAUUGGGAGAGAAAAACAAGAGAGAAAACCUCCAACUCCAACCUUGAAUCUUGCCUUGUUUGAAUUGAAACCACAAAACUAAACCGAUUAAAUUAGCACCAAGGAGCUAAGGAAGCUUGUUGUGGAGUUGUUUGGAGAGAAAUAGCUUGGUUCUUCACUUUCUUCAAGUGUUUAGGAAGGUAUAAGUCUAAAACUUCCUUUGUCUUUCUUUUUUUAGCAAAAUAUGGGAUAGAUGCCUUGAACCUUAAAUUAUGUUGGAUGAUACUCUAGUUUUGGGGAAGAUUAGCGAAUUUCAGCUAGGGUUUGUGAUUUUUCAGCUUUGAUUUAUGAUGUUUAUCUCUAAUAUGUUGGUAUUGAGCUUGGAAAUGGAAUUUGUGAGAUGAUUAGUGGCUUGAUUGUGAUAUUUAGCCUUAAAAGAUGAAAUUUCAGUUUUGUCAAGCAAUUUCCAGCAUUGAUGAGUAGUUUUAGGGUUGAUAUGCAAAUUCCAGCAUUUGGUGGUGAAUUUCAGUUCUGCCCUGUUUUUGGAAUCAACUUGGGCUGCAAAUUUCUCCAUGUUUUAGAAUGAAUCAGCUUUUGGACAAAACAUGAAACUUAUAGGGAUUUGAGUUAAAUUUCUACCUACAAAUAUCAGAUCAAUUGGAUCAUUUUAGCUUAUGAUUUGGCCAAAGCACUCCUGACUGCGUAAAAACUCUAAUUUUUCCUAACCUGUUUUUCAUAUGCUUCUGACCGGCCAUUUUUGACCCUGAAAAUGAGAGAAUUGGGUGUCGAUGUCUUCAUAGGAAAUGUAGGUCUAUGUCUUAGCCAUAAAAUUUACAUCAAUCCGAUAUACCUAGCUACAGUUAUGACCAAAACACCGAAGGAUGACAAAUCUGCCAUUUCUAAGUUCUUCUUUAAACUGGUUUCCAGCUUUGGUCCAUGGUGGUACGUUUAUUAUUUGGUUUGUUUAGUUGGUUUUGAGGCCUUGAAUAGAUGUAUGUUGUUGGUUAUCACUUGUGUACUUAGAUGGGAAAAUGGAUAAAUUCAAAGGUCAUGCUGCCCAAAUUUUCGCUCGAGGGUUAGGUGAGUGAACUCGAGACUUGAGCAACGACUCGAUGUUGAAGCGAACUUCGCUUGUUUAUGGUAUUCGAGUUUUCCUUAGUAAGAGAUACAUAAGUUGAAAUUUUUGCCGAAACUCGUACCCUUUAAAAAAGUAAAAGUAGCGACCCUAAAAAAUACAAUUUUCUCGAUUUUCAUACCCAAUGCGACGUCCAAAAUAUAAAUCACUUCUUUAUCAAAACUAAAAAAGCAAGCAUGAAUUUUCUAGAGUUUGAUAAGUCAUAUGACUACUACUUAAACAAGUUUCAUUUACUUGAUUUUCUUGAAGCAAAACUCCUAUGUUUCGAACCCUAGUGGAUUUUAAACUCUUAAAUGAUAUUUUAUCGUAGAUUUGGACUCCAAUCAAGGAGUUGUACCUGAGCGUGAUUUUUGACAAGCACUAAGUCUUUGGUGAGUGCUUCCAAGUACAUGAUUAAAUAUAAUACUUGAUUUAAAUACUUGAUAUUUGAUUGGUCUGGUCGGACAAGGGUGUACUUUAUCGCACUUGCCCUAAUAUGAUAUAUACUUGUUUAUUUGUUGCAAUUGACUUGAUAUACUUGUUUAUGAUAUGCGCACUCUCUGGAAUUCCAGAAACCAUGUGGCUAGUUACUCGAGUCGAUUCGGCAAGGACUUAGUCGAUUAAAUAACGAACCCUGGGUCUCUUGUUUUGUCGAGUGGAGUGUUAUCUCCUCGACUAAUAGGUAUUCUCGAGUAUUACCACCCAUGUGUAUUGAGGAUUUUGGGCCCGGUAAGGGGUUUGAAUAGUGGACGGAGAUUGUAGUUAAGUGGUGCUCUACUGGACUAUUUACUUUACUUGAAAGUUGACGGAGUGUCAACUACUACUUGAUCAAGCUCCGGUGAAGCAACAGGAAUUUGGCUCUUGAGAGCCAUCCGUAUCCUUAUACUUUGAAAUGGUUAUUACUUGUCGUGUUAUUGUUUCUUUUUAUGAGCUUUUACACUCGCUCAUUUUAAGAGUUCAAGUUUUACAUAUGGCCAACGUGCUACUUGGGUCCAAUUCUUGACUUGUUAUACUCGCUACUUUGCUACUUUGACACUUGCACUUUUAAAUAAGGGUCAACUUGCUAUUUGGAACCUCACUGAGCUUUAGCUCAUUCUAUUCCGUUAAAUUUGUUUUCCUUACAGAGGGUACAAGCAAGGGCGUGAGACUAGUACAUGCUAGCAUAGUCUAGUUUUUGAAAUUUUGCGAUUGUACUCGCGCUAGUGCUCGGUUAGGGUUGAAUGUAUCUGGAAUUCAUAUCUUUUGUUAUAUUUGGAAUUGUAUGAAUGUUUGGAAUAGAAAGGAAUGUACAUGUACGUUCCAAAUUUGGGAACUGUUAUUCCAUUUACGCUUGAGGUUGGGAACUAUUUUAUUUGAAAUGAGUGAGCGAGUCCUGGCGAGAGUUGGGCAGGCGGUCCCCUAAACCCUGGGGUACGCCCUAGGGGGAGGUGGGGUCGUCACAGUUAUGAAUUUAUUUGUACAUGCUGUAGCAGAUGUCUUGUUCAUCUAAAAGUACUUUAGCAAUCUCAUAAUCAUAACUAUCUUCAAAGAUAAUUAGGUAGGCAAUUAAACUAUGUAAAUUAGGAGAUUAGAUGAUAAUGAUAAUGAAUCAGAUUAAGACCUCAAAGAAAGGAAAAGAAAUUGUGAAAACUGAUGUAUAUGUGAGGACCUGAAAAUUUUCUUAUUUUUGUUGAAUAUUAUUGGUUUAUUUAAAUAUUUAUUUACCCGUUUGUUCCGAAUAUUUUAUUUUAACCUUUUUAGACCCAAUUACAUGGAACUAUGACUUGCAAAUAUUUUUAAAAUGUUUCGUUAAUAAAUUUAAUUUUCGGAAGCUCGUUUAGUGAGACUUAGUGAAUACGUGUUUGGAGGCAAUAACCGAUUUGAGAGUAUAGUGACCUUGGAGAUUGAAGACUCAUACAUUCAUUUUAAAAUAGUUAUUUUUAUGUUUAAGUACUCAAAUAUUAGUUAGCGAUACUAUCGUUAUAACAAUUUCUUAAAAAUUUUACCUUAUCGCGCAUAAAUCGGAAGUACGCGUUUUCGCGCGUGCGAUAAAUUGAGGGACUUUAGACUCUUAUUAUUGGACUAUUAAGGGUGAAUAAUAAUAGUAUGAAUGGAAGUGCAUUGGAGGUUUAGUGUACAAGUGAAACAAACCUGAGAGGAAUCGAGCACGAAACGCGCGCGUACGCGUACUAUUCCUAGUUGACUUUUGGAGCACUUUUGGCCGCACACUUUAAACUUCUCAAGGAAGCUUCAUUAUCAGCAAAACACUCCCUCUUUUUCUCUCAUAACAGCCGUGCAUCACCAUAGGAGGAAGAGACCAAAGCUCUUCAUCAUCUUGCACCAUCUCUUGCCCAAAUCACCUCAAAUUCACACCACACUUUGCAAAUAACUUGGAGAUCAUCUUGAGCUAGGAAGGGAGCUUCAUCUCAUGGUUUUCUUGAGCUUCAAAGGACCGAAAAUUUCUGGUUUUAUCAUCUAAAGAGGUAACCAAUGAUCAAACCCUUGAAUCUUAGUUUAUGUAAGUUGAUUUGUACUUGUAAGCUUAUAGAUCCAUGUGGGUAGCUCUAUAUUGUUGGAAAUCUUGUGCGUGGGCUCUAUGAAAUCCCACAAUGGACUUGAUGAACUGAUGUGAUGAUGUUGGGUGUUGUUUAUGUUGAAUUAGUGCUUAAACAAGUUAUUAUAAGUUGAAUGGUGAAAGGAAAACUCAAAAGGAAACAAAAGUGAGAAAAGUUCCGGUUCUGCCCCUGCCUUUGCCGCACCUUUUGGUGCAAAUUUUUGUGGUCCAAUUGACUUGAUUCUGAUGUAGAUAUGUUGUAUAAGUUGUGUGGAAAGUUCCCACUAAAAAUCGCUUGAUUUGGUUGGCCAAAAGUUGAGAUUUCGAAAUUCCUUUAAAACUGGAAAACGUGUCCUGAGCUGCUCUGGCAGUGAUUUUGUAUCGACUAUAACUCUUUCCUCCGAUGUCAAAAUCAAGUGCCGUUUGUGGCAUUAGAAACUAGACAUUUCCAAUUUUUCAACAGUAUAAAAUACAUCCCCUGAUUCCACUUGAGUGAACCGUACCAACCUUUCAAAGUCACCUGUCCUAUUUCUCUGCUGUGUUGAGAAAUCUGUUAUGAACUGCAAGUUGUUGGUCGAUUAUGAGCUAGUUGUGGACAGAAUCUUCUGAGAAAUUUUACCCUUAUGGAUGUAGUUUCCAAUGCCACCAACCACGCUCAAUUCCAAGUUGAAUUGAGUGAGUUAUGGCCGAAUUGCAAAACUGCUUCAGUGAUUGAAAACCCUCUUUUUGACUAGUUGUAUGACUCUUUUUGAAUUGGGACUUGUGAUCUUGAAAUUCUUGGUGUUAAUUACCUACCAAACAUAUUUUGGAUGUUUUUUAGACAUUGUCUUCAUAAAUGGACCAUGUUUGAGAAGAUUUCAUUGACCAAAUGUUUUAGAAAAGGAAAAUUGAAGUACAAGGCAGAUUUACCUUGGAAAUUCUUGAAACUUUAAUGAUUUUGUUAACCGACUUCCCGUACGAAUUUUUGUAUGAUAUUUAGCAGAGGAAUAGCCCUUAUAUGGUAGUGUAAUAAUACCAAAUUUGGUGCCAUUCUGAGUCCAUUUCGAUGCUCAACCAAAGCCCAAAGUUCAUGAUUUAAAUCUGGAAAAUCCUUGUUUAGUGAGGAAAUUUUAGUAAUUUUGAGCCGUUAUAUUUUGGUGCUCAAAACUCCGAUUCUUGUUCCAUUUGUUUUGUUUUAAACUUUGACUAUAACUCUAAUUGAGUUCCAAAUUUUAGAGGCUAGUCCGUAUUGUGUGAAUUUUGCCGAAUUUCCAAACUUUGCCAAAAAUCAACCCAAAACUGUCUUGGUAUUCCAAAAACAACAUCUUGAACCCAAAAAUUUGAAUGUCAUCCAUUUGGAAUCAUAGAAUAGUGUCUUCUAGGAACUUUUAGUACUUUGGAAGUAGUUUCCAACGGUAUCAAGUUUUCCAAAUUUGGACUUACAGAGAGUGAGAUACGAUUUUUCAAAAUUGCUAGUCAAAUCUGAAUUUUUCCAAACUUAAAAGAAAUUGAGGUUUUCGAACUCUCCAUUUUCCUUCGAUAUCGUUUGACCAUUUUACACUUGAUUUCAAAGAUGAAAAUCAGAUUUCCUUGUAUUAUUUAAAACCCCACUUUUGAGUCUCAAUUCACGAGUAAUUAAGGCUCAUUUCCAUGACAUCUUCUUAGAUUGUACAUGAGUGCAAUCUUCCUCGAUAAUUAGGAGUUUUAAGCGAUAGUGUGUAAUAGUUCAUUAUUAAUUGCUCAGGCACUCAAGAGGACCUUCAAGAGGAUCUCACGGAAGACGCCUAAACAAUCGAUUGUGCUUGCUUCUUGAAUUACUUGGUGAGUGUCAAGUGUAUCUAAACUUGAUAUGUGCUUAAUUGUUAUUAGUGAUUGGAGAUUUUGAAAAUACUGAGUCGGGUGUGUACCUUACCACACUCGGUCUCAUUUGAAUGAAUCAUGAAUGACUUGAUUGAAAUGAAUUGAAUGAUUGAAUGAAAUGAUUAAUUAUGCUAUGGCUGCAUAAGUCGAUUGGAGCGAUGCCUCAUCGAUCACUGAACGAUUGUAAGUACCACACCGAUUUGGUGGGAGGUACCUCUCGAGUCGUCUCAGUACCCUAAACCUCUGAACGAUAGCAAGUACUACACCGAUUCGGGUGGGAGGUACCUCUCGAGUCGUCUCAGAACCAUUAAGCAUUCUAAAUCAAUUGGAGCGGUGUCUUAUCGACCUCUGAAUGAUAGCAAGUACCACACCGAUUUGGUGGGAGGUACCUCUCGAAUCAUCUCAGACCUAUAAACUGAGCGAUAGUAAGUACCACACCGAUUUGGGUGGGAGGUGCCUCUCGAGUCGUCUCAGAAACAUAAAUGGAAUACGUAAAGUGCUAUGAAUUUAAUUAUCUACCCGGGUGACGGGGUGUCGUCACGAGAAGGUAUUGAAUUGAACUUGGGCAAAGUAAGAAAAGAUUUAGCUCCUGAGAGCUCCUACAUCCUAUUCAAGGGGGUUUAUUAUAAAUUGUGAAUUUCUGGAAUGUUAUAGUUUUCACUAUUGUGUAAGUGCUAUUGCUAUUGAAUUACUUGUCUUGCAUGUUUUCUUGGCCUCACGAGCAUCCGCUCACCCCGUUAGAUUUGUUUUCCUUAACAGGAGCUGAAAUGGGAGGAAUUCUGAAGAAACUUACUUGAUGCUUCAUUUGAUUAGAAUUGUGAAUGUAUUUGUUUAGAAUUUGAUUUUGGAAGCUGUAUAUUUUGGGAAUGUAAAGUAAUUGGGCAGAUUAUGAUGUAAGACUUGAACGUUUAUUAAGGAAUCGACCUUCGUUUAUCUCUUCGAUUUUUAGUAUCGAUUGGUUAUUAUUGAGUUUAAAUUGAACUAGUACCGAGUCCUGGCGAGAGCUGGGCAGGCGUUCCGCCGAUAACCUUGGGUUCGCCCUUGGGAGAAGUGGGGGCGUCACAGUAUAUAUUAUUAGUAGGCAUGUAUUUUCGACAUACGGCACUUCUUUGUUUGUAACUAGUAUAUAUGAUAUUAAUUGAUGAAUGAAAAAGAAAGAAUCAGAAGACAAACUUAAGGAACUAUACACACGUACACAAAAUAAUUAUAGUAACUUAACAAAAGGAAUGAGUUAAAAUUCACAAGACAAUAAUAGACCACUUAUAUAUAUACCCUGUUUAAUAGUUAAUUAAAUAGAGCUAGUAAUAAAAUUUUUAGAUUUUGCUAAGUUACUAAUAUUUAGUUUGAUUUGUGGAUCAACUAUUUUUCCUUAAGUAAAUUAGGUGCUCUUGGAUAAAUCAUGUCAAGUGGGGAGAGAGAUUUCAAAAAAGAAUGCUUGAAUAGUGAGUGUCCCUAAUCCCAUUGUUAACUUAUAAAGUACUGUGUUUUAUAAAUUUUGUGGUGUAUUUCUUUUCAUCUUGAAUUUGGGUGAUACCUUUAUAGGAAAAAUAUGAUUGAAUUGAUGCACUUGUCAUGAAAUUCUUUAUUGGACUAACUGAGUUAUAUUUUAUCCCUUUUUUUGAUAAUUGAAAAUUGUGCAUGCUUGCAAACCUAGUUGUGUACUUUAUUAUAGUGGGAAGAACUGGACCUAUGCAAUGUGUGAGUUAGAUUUGCCAAGCUAGCAUUGGGAUUGGCCAAGCGAACUGGCCAUCUUAGCUCUACUAUUCACUUGCUUUAUGGGAUGUUCAUAGAUUUGGGAGUGUGUGACAUGUCUAUUAUAGAAUGUGGCACUUCGAGUUAUGAUAUGUAUGAUUGGGAGACAUUUGUUAUUUUGAGAUCUGUUUCGGCGCGUACUAACUAAGACAUGAUAUCCAAAGGGCUUCCAAUGAAGUCCAACUAUAUCCAUCCCUGUAUAUAUAUGCUUUAUUUGUUUUAAAUGAAUGUUUGGCCAUACAUGUUUCUUUAUAAAUGAUUUUACCUAAUUAAUGCAAAAUUUUUCUUUAGACGCCAUCAAUUUUAUUUCUUAAUAAAUGGGCCCUAGUAAGCGUAAGCUCACGUUAUAAGUGUGUAUACUUGCGAGAAGGGAAAGGAGUGGUGUAAAUAUUUUUGUUUUAGUAGUAGCUUGUACAUAUAGAUACACUUAGGAUGGUUUUACUUUUGAAUCCUAAUGGUUUGAGCCAUGUAUAUAUUUAUUGUAACAUAUGUAAAUUUUAUUUUAGUGUACCAGUCACUUUUAAUUAAUCAAUUAUUCCCUUGUAGUUAGACACAGCGAGAGCAAGACAGGUGCUCCAAUGGGUGUUUGGAGGUAGACCCUAGUUAAGGCAUUGCAAUUUAUUUGUUUUAGCAUGUGUGUUUGAAUCCAUUUGUCAAGUGAAUCUAUUUUCUUAGGUUUUAGUGUUUUAAUCAUGGUUGAAGUUAAAAUGAAAAACUAAUGGCUUUAAGUGAUCUUUAAUACUUGUUUUGAUAGGUUUUGAUACAAUGAUGAAAUUGAAGAGGCAUUAAAUAAAGGUUCAUAUAUGUCAAAAGACAUUUAAGAAGUUUGGAAAAAGAAGUAAGUCAAGUUAAAACCGCCUUCAAGAAAUUAAGAAAGUCAGCUUUCAAAUGUGACUAGGAUUUUUAGUUUGAUAGAUUUCUAUACUUGAACUAUAGAGAUCGGGUUGAGACAAUUUUUUAUUCUUUUCAAAUAUAAAAUCAAGGAAUACAUUCUUAUGAACACAGCUAAGUCUAAUUUCAACAUUUUCUAUCCAAAAGUUCAAAUUACAAAAGGAAUUUGCUGGUCUUACAUUUUUGAAAACUUCAAGAAUUCUUUUCUGACCAAUCAGUGGUAUCUUAGACAUAACUCUAUACCUAGAUAUCCAAUUGACUUGAUUUUUAAUUUGGUACAAACAUAAUUCAUUUUCAUACAACUUUCCUCUUUUGCUUCAGAGUUGAAUGAUCACUAUUCAGAGUUAUUUCUGCUUCAAAUUAGUGGUAGAAUAAUCUAAAUCCAAUCUUGACAAGGUUUUCUACUCGUAUGAAUUCCAAUUCCUUUCAUAUAUAAAAGGGGCAAUUUGUGGACAAAUUUAAGGAUCUUUUAGACAUAUUUUGGAGUCUAGAAAUAAUGUUGAUCUCUAAUUAAACUUAGUUUUAUUAGGUUAGAGUAAGAUUAGAGUAGGUUUUUCUUUGCUUAAUACAACUUUAGAAAAAGAUUGGAGGAAGAAGAAGAAACUCUUUGGCUGUCUUCGAAUUAGAGUUUCUUUUCUUUUCUUUUCUUUUUAUUUAAUUCCAUCUUGCUUAUAUUGUUGUAUUGUGUUCUAAAUUUUAAUUAUGUUAGCCAAAUUUCUUGUUUUUAAGGAUAGAUAGAAUCAAUUAUUCCUUAGUUAAUAAUCUUUCUUGGUUGAUUGGUAAUUCUUAUGCAUAUUAUUUUAUACCUUUAUCUUUGGCCUUUAUAUAUAUAUAUAUAUAUAUAUAUAUAUAUAUAUAUAUAUAUAUUGCUACACCACCCAUAUCAGAUAGUAAUUAUUUUUCACCUUUAUAAUUAAAAGGCGGUUAAUUUUAAAGCAUCUAAGAAAUAAAUUGACUAACGAGAGUUUUAAUUAAUAUUUGUUGGUAAAGGUAUAAACUUCAUUGUGUCACUCACAAAAAUAAGGAAUGAGAGUAAAAGGUUUUUGCAUGAUCUUAUGAAUAUAAUGACUCUUUAAUUUGUUUUUUUAUCACGAAAGUAGAUUUAGACUUGUUCUUGAGAAAAGUAAUGCACUAGCUAAAGCAAGUAUUAUGACAUGUUGAGAUCUACCACAGAUUAGCACAUGAGAUAAUUAAUAGAUCAAGAUAAAGUUUUUUGCUAAGAUAAUUGAGAAAAUCUAGAUCCUAAAAAUCGUUUACCUGGUUUAGUUAUACAUAAUUUUGUUCCUUGUUUGACAUCUUCAUGCUGUUUUCUAAUCUAAUAAUAAAGAAGUUUGACAAUGUUACUAUUUAGUAAUCUUCUAUGUGAGAUACAACACCUGAAUACUUACCUUGCCUGCAUGGAAUCCAUGCUUUUACAGAUGAUAAGUAAUGUUUAAUUUAACUCUCUGCCCAUGCACCCAAUGUUGAGGUUACAUUCUCCUUGGGGUACUGCAGCCUAUAAGAAUUUUGUAAUGUGUUUCCUACUAAGUUGUCAACAUGGAAAACUAAUUUAGAGCAACUAAGAAUCUAAACUUGGAACUUUGCAACAACACUCGAUGCGCUACAUACUGAGAUAGGUAAUUAAAAAAUAGGAAAGCAUCUAAUAAUAAUUGCAUGUAGGAGCAUGCAUCUCUAUUUUGUGUGUAGUAUGGUCAUGCGACUCACCUGGUUACAUGCGACUUUUUGCCCAGGUAUCCUAUAUUACUCAAACGGUUUGAAUCAUUUCUAAUUUUUCAUGUUCAUGAGAUUUGUUAGCAUAAAAGCUCUUAAUUUAUACAAAAUUUACAAGUACAAUUAAGUAAACCACAAAAUCAAGAAACUAAAACUUAUUUAUUAAUUGUGGUUUAGCAAAAAAAAAAAAAAAGAAUGCAAGUUUUAUGUUUACAACUAACUAAAUUGGUAAAUUAAGAAAUAAAACUUUUUUAUUUUCAGUUGUGCAAUCCAAGUUGAAUGACAUUUAAGGGCUUCUUGAUGAAUCAUUUUGUUUAACCAAUUAGAUAUUGUCCAAAGUUGCUCUAAUCUUCGCUUUCAUACAAUAAUUAUUAAAAGAAAAAAAUGUCAAAUAUAAAAAGAUACAGCAAUACUACAAGUACAAAAAUUUAAACUGUAGAAACGUGAAAUAAAAUAUUGUUUAUUUAUGUUUGGCAUAAUCCAUGUCUAAUGCCUUUUAAUUUAUCAAAUCAGAAGUGUAAAACAUGUUCUUGAUGGCACAUUUCGUUAUAUCAAGUAAAAAUGGUUUGACCCCAUCUAAUUUCUAUUUUCAUGCAUUUUGUUAGUUACAAAAGAUAUCAAUUACUAAAUGAUAAAAGAUUUGACAAGUACAAAUAAUUAAAUUACGAAAUUAAGAAACUAAGUAUUUUCUCUCACUUAUACUAUAAAAAAAUUUUAAAAAUGAAGUAUUUGUCUUUGCAGUGGUACUUGUGUUGCUCUUUAUUUUUUUUUGGCAAACCCCAUGCUCGGGGGUAGGAUGCCAGCCCAACUUUUAUUAGAAGAAAUCAAAAAUACAUAGCGAGGGACCACACCUUACCUCCAGCCUAUAAGACCGAUUAGACAAAGUUAUCAUCCAUGUCUACCCCUACGAAAACUAGGACAACCCCACCUAUCUAAAGUAAUAUCUCCUCUAACCAUGCAGGGAAGGGCAAGGAAGGCAUCAUAAACAAACGUCUCCCCAGAAUCAGCCCCAACCUUAGAAAGUCUAUCCGCAGGUUUAUUCGCCUCUCGAAAGCAAUGUGAGAUCUCUCUGUAAUGAUGGCUAUACUGCAACAAUUCUUGUAACUCCCGCUGCACCACCCAUGGACACUUAGCUCUCCCCUGGAUAAUGUGGAUAAGAACCAACGAUUCAGACUCCAAAUGUAAAUUGGCCAGUCUCCAAGCUACUCCUAACCGCACCCCAUGGAGUACCGUCCUCAUUUCCGCUUGUAAACUAGUCAUCUCCCCAAAAUAACAAGAAAAAGCUAACAGGAACCUCCCAUCACUAUGUCGGAACAGACCUCCCUCUCCACUCCUCCCCGGAUUACCCCUCGAACACCCAUCUAAGUUUAACUUUACCACUGCAUGCAACGGACAUCUCCAUCUAACCGUCAACACAUUCACAGACAUUCUCAACCCAGCUACCGCAUCUAGGAGAAAAGACCACGACCUAAGCAUACUCACCCCCUGAAAACGAGCGCCAAAACUAUCAUGAAGUUCAUUAACAAUUUGACCACAAACUUGUGUCACAGUCGCCACCCUCCCUUCAAAGACAAACUUAUUUCUCGUUUUCCAUAAGUUCCAACAAAUCAAUGUGGGCAGAAUUAGAAACAAGAAUCGAAUAUACAUAGUUCGACCAUAUUUCAACCACCAAGCAAUCACCUUAUGCCUUAUCGUGAGAGCUUCCCCAAACCCUUCGAUCGACACUUCAAAGAAACUCCAGACUUGUCUAGCAAACUCACCAGUACAAAAGAUAUGGUUAAUAGUUUCUUGAGAAGAAUGCCAACAGCAAAAACAACGAGACGGGCCGACCACACCAAACUUAUGCAGUACAUCCAUAACCGGCAGCCGACCAUUCAUCAAUCAUGCCACAAAAAAGGAAAUUUUCAAAGGCAAAAACCGAUGCCAUUAAAAGGAGAAGAUACUAGAACUAUUACCACCCUGUCGCACCACCUGAUAUGCCGAUGCUAUAGAAAACUCACCCGAGCUAGUUGGAUACCAAAUCAUUUUGUCCACCUGAUCCGAAGAAGGAGGAGCCACCUCCAAGACCCUGUGCACCCAACUCAUAGGCAACACAUCAUAUAACCUCUGCCAAUCCCAGUAACCUUGAACCACGAACUGCGCACCGACUAAUCCUGGAAAGUUUCCACCUCUUGACAUAGCGGCCACGAUCCUAACCAAUUGUCAUGCCAAAAACUUAAAUUUCCGCUACCCAAUAUCCAUAUCCAUCAUAUAUUCCUCUCCGCCACCACCUGAACAUCCAUCAUCCUCCUCCAAGUGGAUGAUCCACACACCUGAAUGUCCAUCAUGGAUUGUUCGAACCGCUAUUUUGGAUGAUAUUUAAUUGGUUAAAGUAAAUGAACAAUCCAUUUUUGCCAAUUGGAGCAGAUCUAGCUUGGAUUUAAAUAUCGUCCAAAAUAGCUGUAUCUUCAUUUUCAUACAAUAAUUUAGCAAAGGAUUUCUAAUAUGAAAAGGUAUAAUAAUUGUGCAAGUACGAAAAUUAAACCAUAAAAUAGAGAAACAAAAUUCCAAGUAAAAAUUUUUCCAAAACCAUUCUAAUCUUCAUUUCUUACACAAGUGCACAAGUUUUCUUAACUAACACAUUUACUUUUAUCAAAUAAAAAUGGUUUUAACUGUUCUCUUUUCUUAUUUUCAUGCAUAUGUUUAGUGAAAAAAGCUUUCAAUUAUUGAAAUACUCACAAAUGUUAGGAGUACUAGUAAUUAAACUUGCCUAUUGAGAAACAAAAACUUUUUUGUUCACUAUAGUACAAUACAAACUGAUUGGUAUUACAAUUUUUCUUGACAAAAAAAAUUCUUUUUUGGGGUUUAAAAUAUUACCUGUUAUGCUGGGGGGGAGUUUAGCAUGCCCCUACUGAUUUUAUUAAUUAAUAAAAAAAUAGUGUGAGAAGGGCAUAAAUCUUACCUUAAGUAUAUGAUACAAAUAUAACAUAUGCACUAUGCAAUAUUCAUUUUAUCUACUCUAAUGAGACCUCUAACUCAACUAGGAAUAUUGGAAAUAUUGGAAAUAUUGUAGAAAGAACUUCAUCUUGUAAAUCUACCUAGUGUUGCUAACUCAUCUGCUGUCGCAUUUGCUUGUCUAAAUAUAGGAUAGAAAGUGCACGGUCUGCCUGCAAUGAACCAUUUGAUAUCUUGGAUAGUGGAAUCAAUCUUUCAUAGAAUCGAUGAUAAGCCUGACAAUAUAUCCAUCAUAUCUCUCAAUAUGAAGGAUUUGAAAAUUAUGUCGUAUAUCAUGAGCAAUUCCUUGUAAAGUCGGUAUUGCUUCCACCUCCAUGCUUCUCAUAUUCCCUAAGAAAGUUGAAAAAGCAACAAUCAUUCGACCAAAUGCGUCUCUAACCUAUCCACCACUACCAGAUGAUCUAGGAUUGACGAUUGAAGAACCAUCCACAUUAAGCUUGUGAGUUGAUAGUUGUGGAGGUUGCUAAGAAAUUGCAACUGGUACUGUUGACUUCCUUUUUUUUCAUCCAAUUCAGUAAGCCAUUGAUUAAGAACAAAUCAUCAGAGCCUUCAUACCAACUAAAUGGAUAAGCUUGAGAGAGAGAGAGAUAGCAACUACUUGUGAACUUGAUGACAAAUCCUCCUAACAUUGAAAAUUUUACCUUCAUAGAAAGCCACCCAUCUUGCUUUCCACGUCUCCUAACAAAUAAAAGGGCUUCUCAUUGAUUCAUUUACUUUAAUCAAUUACAUAUUUUGUUCAAAACUGCUCUAAUCUUUAUUUUUGUACAUUAAUCAGUUUAAAAAGCUUUUUUAAUAUGAAAAGAUACUGUAAUGCCCAAAGCAACCUAAGAGGGGGUUGAAUUAGAUUGAUUAACAACUAAGCAAAUUAAGUCAAAUUUUCAUCCAAUUUAAACUCGUCAAAUUACGUACGUAAGUGAGCAGACACAUAAACAAAUAGAAUGUGAUCAAACUAAAGUAACAAAAUCACAUAUCAUUAAUCAAGUAAGGGAACAAUAACGUAAGAAGGAAAGCAAACCAAAUGAAUUGGUACCUUCAACGGCAGCUUCUUGAGCUCCAAAACUUUACCAAACUUAGAGGUCAAUCAACUAGGUGCUUCUUCUAAUUAUUGGUGAUGCAAAGCAACUUGUAUAAAGAAGGGUUCACUCCUUGCUCACACUGAGUAUCCCAACUCUAGUUGAGUGAAGAAAUUUUACAACUCAUCCUAGUUAACUCUCUGUAAGUUACAAUUAAAUGCCCACUCUAACAAUGAACAACACUUACACGUGAAUCUCACCUUCUCCAAGGUUUUACUCCUCCUUAAUGAGAAAUUUCACAAACCCAAGAACUUUUCCCACACCUAUACAAUAUUUAAAGUGUCUUUUAAUUCAAAAAUCACUCUUGAAAACUUGUAUUCCAUAUAAGCAAAAGUUUUCCUUCUUUUCAGACUUGAAGAUAUUUGUAAGUAGUGAAAUUUUGCACCAAAAGUCUCUCCAACGGUCAAAAAGACUAGAUGUUGGACCUGUCAGACAUCCAAUUUAAAUGCUCUAUGUCUAAACCAUUGCUUGAUUCUACUUUGGGGUCUCUUUGCUAAAACGUUCAGAUAUUUGAUAGAAAUGCUUAUAUGUCCUGUGGAUUAUAUGACAGCAAUAGAGAGUUUAGCCAACUUAUCGGACAUCUAACAGGCAUGUUAUGCAUCUGAGAGAGCAUUCAAAGGUUAGCAACAAUAUUUUCUUCAAUACUUUGGACGUUUGCUCAUAUACCAUGCGUCCGAGGUUGCAUCCGAAGUCCACUUCAUUUGCUUCUUGAAGUGCUACAAAUGUCCGAUCAACCCAGCGUGCAUUUGAAGUUUCGUCCGAUGUUCAGCGAAAAUCUUCUUUUCUUCUUCUUUCUUUUGCCAAUUAUUUGAGCACCUAUGCUAAUAAAAUUCUCACUAAAAAUAUUAGUCCAAAUUAUCAUUUUGACUUGUUAAUCAUUAAAACCAAGAAUUGAUCAACCUAAGCCUUCAACCUUCCCUUUUUUAUGAUGACAAAUGAAAUGAUGAUUUCUUUGAUCAAAUAAAUUCAAAUAGACUCUGCAUUACCCUAUGGUAUCUCAAGUAAAACUCCCCCCAAGUUCAAGCGCAACAUUUAAAGAAAUAUCAUUCAAUCUUCUCCUUCUUUUGAUAUCAUCAAAAAUAAAUAAGUACAAAGGGACAUUGUACAUGAACAAGGAAUUGCAAGAAACUCCCACUAAAGUUGAGGAAAUAUUGAUUUUGAUCAAAUGUUUCUAUGAGGUCCCGAAAUUUUACUUGUCUUUAUAGCUCUUAUUUGAACUUACUUGCCUUAAAUUCUUGGUUGCUUUUAUGGUUGAAUCAUGAUUUUUCUCUUAUUGUAUUAUUUAACUUGGUGCAUGUUUAAUUUGGUGCAUGUUAAGUUUUAUAGUACAUUACACUAGUGUGACCAACUAGUGAGGUAUGUGCAAUAAAUUUGGUAGAUUUGAAGGAGUUUUGUAUACAAGGGAUUAUGUGACAAGAGGUGUUAAGAGUUAAUUAGAGGAGUAUUAGAUAUAUUAGUGAUUGGAAACAAAUAGAGAAACAAAUAGAGAAACAAAAAGAUAAACAAUACAUCUUUCCUUGCCAUUUGUCAACUAGUCUACCAAGUUUGACCAAGACCCUUGACCAAGACCAAGUUUUCUUCUUAUCCAACUUGAGCUCUUAUCAUUUCACUAUUUCUUCUUCUUGUUCCUUGGCCUUGGACGAAUUUGGAGAGGAGAAAAGAGGGAGAAAACCACAAAAAAAUCCAGCCUUGAUUUCUUGCUUGAAUCAUGAAGAAUCCAAUGAAAAAUCCUAAUUUACUCCGAUCAAUCUUGAGGUAAGUUUGGAGGGAAGCUUUUGGUGAAGUUUUGGAAGAAGAAAAUCUUGCAUCCCUCUUGAUUUGCUUGUCAUCUUUGGGGUUGGAGGUCAAGAUUUAAACUUUGCUAGAAAACCUAACUUUCUUGAUGUUUAUAUGAUUAUUUACUAGUUUUACUUGAGGAACUACUAGGUUUUCUUGAUAUAUGAUGAUUUCUUAAGUUUACUUGAUGAACUACUAGAUGUUACUACUAGGUUUUUAGUUUACUUGAUGUAUGUUGCUUUAGGGUGAAAAAAGCAUGACUUUUAUGGAAGAUUUCAUGGUUUUCAAACUUAUAUUCGAAUUUCCAGCUUUAGGGUUAAUUUCCAGCUUUGAUUGGUAUUUUCCAGCCUUGAGUUGAGAGUUUCCAGCUUUGAUAUGGACUUGUGAGUUUGAUAUGAAGAUAUCUAGCUUGGAUAUGGACUUGUGAGUUUGAUAUGAAGAUAUCUAGCUUGGAUAUGCACUUCUAGCUUUGUUAUAUGAUUUUUCCAGGUCUAGUAGUUAAUUUCCAACUUUGCUAUGUUAAUUUACACCCUUGGAAUGCCAAUUUCAGCUUUAUUAGGAGAUGUUCAAGUUUUGGCAUGCAAUUUUAGUUUUGAUAUGAAUAUUUCCAUGCUUUGGUUUGAAAUUCCAGCUUUGAGAUGAAAAAAUUUCAGCUUUGGUGUAAGUGAUUUGGAGCUUGUUAUAUAUGUUCAAAGUUGAUAGUUUUGUGGCCUUGAUAAGGUUCAUUUACUAUGAAACUAAGAUGUGAAUUGGAUGGUUAACUUGAAGAAAAAUGGAGACAUAUCGCUGGAUUUUCUCCUUGUUGGUCAAGUGAGGGUUGAGAUGUGAAUUUAGGGCAUUUUGUCUUUCUCUUGCAUAUGACUUUUCUCAAAACACUUGUUACAAUCUAUUUCUUUGCAUGUGUGUUACUUUUGGACCAAAACAAAGAGGUUUAAGAAGGGAAAAACCUAGUUUUCCAAACUAAUUGCUUGUUGGAAAAUUUUCGCAGGAAGCGCUGCGCAACUUUGGGAAAUUGACUAUAACUUCGGAUAACCCUAGCAAGAUAAGGAAACCCUAGCAGCCGUCACGUUAUUGUUCUUGCUGCCCAAGCGACAACCAACUAACGAGACAGAUUUGGGAGCAACGUUGAAACACCAACAACCAGAAUUUUUGAUGCAACAAACGACUCAAACGCAAGAAACAAGUUGUGGACAGAAAUUAUCAACAAACUAGACACAACACAAAGGAGAUAACACACCAACAGAUUUUUGUGUUCGGAUGAACAGUAACGUGAACAGUGUCGUAUGAACAGUGUCGGAUGAACAGUAGCGGUGAACAGUGACGUUUUUUUUUUUUUUUUUUAAAACAAGGCAGCGGAAAAUAAGGAAAACUAGACAAACUACGGAUAUAACGGAAGAUACCUCCACCAAAGCUCUGAAGCCAACUGAUACGUUCCUCGAUCAACACGUUUCGAGACACGUAGCACGUUUGCCCAAGGAUCUAGCGAGGAUGUCCAACGCUUGGAAUUGCGGGAUCUAGAACCAAACGGACGACACGAUUUGAUUCAAGACGGUAGACGACACUCCGAUGAAGGUGAAUACUCCAGGGGAAUAGGUCGGUAGAACAAUCUAGGACAGGACGCAAGACUGCUCAAAACCCUUGCCAAAGCAAGUAAAGGGGUCGAAUCUCUCUCUCAAGAAGAAUCGAAAAUAUGCAAAACUUUAUUGAUAAAACGUCUACCUAAAACCUUACAAAGCAAGCCUAUUUAUAGGCUAAAGUGACUGAAACCCUAAAGGGACUAGGAAAGGGAAAAGUCGGCCCAUGGUCUUGGGACAAGAUGGGCCGGCCCAUGGUCUUGGGACAAGAUGGCCGGCAUGCUCUUACUUAAACACUAAUCAAUUGCUAAAUAACUACUAAGGCCUAAGGCCCUAUUCGGCCAACUCAUUUGGAGGCCCACUUGACUCUUCAUGGGCUUGGGUCAUGGUGUAGAUAACUCGAUUAAAAUCCUUCAAGCCUUCAAUAUCUCUAUGGACUCCAUGUUGGUUUUGGACAAUUCGAACAAGGGCUUGGAGGGAUUCUUUGAAGAGCUUGGCUCGUGCACGUGUGACUGGGCCCAAUGGAACUCGGACUGGGUCAUUACUUGGGCUAAGGUCCGUGCACACAUCAGUCCCCUCCACUUGAGCAGGAUUUGUCCUCAAAUCUGGAUGGAAAUGAAUGACACGAACAAGGGUUGGUAUCAUGGCUCCAGUGGCUCCUCUUGUUCGUAUCACUUAUACCCUAUUUAAAGUAUCAAGACUUUCCCUUUCCAUAUUCCCAAUUCUCCUAGAAGGUAAAAUGCACAUAAUUAAUAUCUGGAUAUGAAUAUAAUUGAAAUUGAACAAAUAUACAUUAGAAUAAUUUUUUAUUUGUUAUUGUUUUUCUCUUGACUUUUUUGCUCAUGUGAAAGGGAAAAAAAUGCCAUUCCUCUUCAAUCAAUUAUAAUUUCAUAAAACAAGGUAGUUAUAUGUUUAAUGAAAAAGUGCCAUUAAAACCAAAUUAAGAUUUCAUAAUGAUAAGAAUAUUGCCAAUUAGAUUCAACACUUCUAUAAUUUGAAUUACUAUUCCUUUGACUGUCUACAAAACAUAAUUAUGCUCUUCAAACUUUUUAGGAAAAGCAAAUUCAAAAUUUUUUUUUAUUAUACCUUAUCUUCAAAAUGUUGACAUUAUAGUGUACAUAAAAGAAAUACCUAGUAAAAGGACAUCAUCAUUAGACUUUAUUUUUCACUUGUAUCACAUGUGAAUUUCUUAUUGUAUGUACAUUUUUAUGUGAAUAUACGCGCAUACAUGUUUGUGGGUAUGCGUAUAUAAAAUUAUACAUUGUUUGACUUUGACUCUAACAAAGUGGUGGCAUAAUUCAUGUAAGCAAAAAAUCCAAUGCAAAAUCUCAAUAAAAACUACAUACAAUGCUCUUAGUUGGCUCUCAUAUCUAAUCUUCUACUUUAUUUUUCAAUUUUGAGAAAGUCUUCAAAAUAUGAGGUUCAUUUUAGACUUGCAUACGUGCUAUAUACAUUUUCUAUGUAUUAGAGACACGCACACACAUAUAUGAUAGCUUCUAGGAUUGAUUUUUCUUAUGUUGACAAUAUAUACCUGAAUGAGUUUGGAUAUACGUCACAUAUGUAAACUUGAUAUCUAGAUUUAUAUCUAAUAGUCAUGUACCUAUACCUACUAAACUAGUGUAUAGCGUGUCAAUGUAAGAAAAAUUAAGUCUACCAUUUAUGUCAUUAAAGUAUACUAUUUUAAUUAGAGAUUGUAAAAAUUUUUAUAUCAACUUUUGACCACAAUUUCAAUGGUAGCUAAAUUCAACACUUUACACUUUCAGCUAAUUUUAAAACAAAAUAUUAAAAGUAAACCUAAGAGAUGUAAUUAUCACAACUUAGGCUCAAAUACUUGUGUUGUAUGCAACUAUGGAUUGAGAUUUCUUACAAUUGGUAGAACAAUUGUAUGAUAUAAUUGAUGGUUAGAAUCAACUCAAUUUUAAUUUGGAUCGAUAGGAUUGAUUGUGGAACACAAAUUUCAAUGUUUGACAAAAUUUGUUGUGGUUUUACAUGUUACUGGUUUAGUUCUUACAUUUUUAGUUUUAGCAUUUAUAUUGUACCUUUGUUUGGCAAAAACCUUGUACACGAGGACGGGUUUCCUGCCCAUUAUUUUAUUAAUAAAUUAAAGAGCUUGAGGAGGCCAAACUUGACCUCAAUACAGACGAAGAAAUCAUAAAUAAGGAGUACUGUUCCCUUACAAUGUUAGUCCACACAAAUGGAAAAGAAGAAUCUAAAUUCAAUGUGGAAUGCACAUAUGAAGAAAGUUGCUACGUGGAAGUAAUCACAGUAUUAGAGCUCAAACCACAACCUACAAUCUUGUUAGCCGAUGCAUUAGACUCCCUAAAGACAUAUGAAAGUGAACCUGGCAAAAAAACAAAUAUUAGCAAAUUCGCCGUAGAAUAUUAUAGAGAGGCCAUUUUCCAAUGCUAGAUGAUUUAACCCAAUACACUUAUAUUGCAGAAUCCACCUCAACCACCAAUGCAUGCCUUGUGUAGGUGAUUUUGAAAACCUUGGAUCCAUGCAAUAAAUGUGUAUGUGCAUGCCUCAACCUAAGCUGCUAUUUAAUGGCCUAAAAAGAAAACUAUUGCUUCACUUAAACUAAUUCUCUCUUACAUGGAUAAUUAAUUAAUUGAGGAGUAUUGAAGGAUCAAAUAUUAUUUGGCUUGUACAUGUUUUCUAUUAAAUUUUUGAAAAGAUUAACUCUUUUAUGGACAUUUGUUUUACUUAGGCUUAUGUGUCCAACUAUAAUUUCUUGAUUUAUUCUUAAUUUAAUUAUUCUUACCAUUUUUUUUCACAAGAGGAGACCAAAAAUUUAUUGCUUUUUCCUUGUUUGUGUUCACAUAGUGGCAUGCAACAAUACACAAUUAUUAACAAAUUUGACUUUGAAACUUUUAUUUCUUCUUGUUUUUGGAGAGAAAAAGGAUUUAAAGGUGAAAUUAGAACAAGUUUCAAAACUUAGCAAAAAGCAUCCUUUGGACAUGUAAAAUUUGCCGAAAGCUUUAUAGCUUAUUCACUAUAAUUGCUUAAUGUUGUCAUAUAUGUUAGUAAAGUAAGAUCAAAUAGCAAAAUAAGAUUAGUAGUUUUAAAUUCUUGCAAUUUUCUUAUUUAUCUCUCAUUGGAACUCAAUUGUUUGAUUAUAAUUCUUACCUUUUUCUCACCGUAGAAAAAAAUUUAUUGUUUUUCUAUCUAUUUACAUAGUUGCGUGCCAUACUAAGAAGGUCUGAUAGCUUUGACUUUUAAUCUUUUAUUUGUACUUUUUUCAAGAGAGAAAAAAGGGUUUAAAGAUACCUCAAAUGUAUCUAAAUGUCCAAUUAAAUCACCAUAAGUAUUAUCUGUGCAACACAUGUGUUUGUAAUUAGUUAUUACACAGCAAUGCAUGGUUGGAUCGGUGUUAGAAUCUCAAUUUUUAUACCCAAAAAGGAUUUGUAUACUAAAGUCUCUUAUAUGUUCAAAACUUUUUGUGAUAAGGAAUUCAAAUUAAAACUUUCCUUUUCCUUUUCAAGAGUAUCGACAUGACUCAGUCUCAACCAUUCACUUGCCAUACAGAUUGCAAUUUUAAUUCUUGGCCUCAAUUUUCACAAAAUAAAUUGGAUCUAUAUAAAUAAUUGUGAACAUAGAUAGAAUCGAAAUAUUUAUAUUGAGGAAGAGAAGUAUAUUAUAUGGAAUAUUUUCAAAUUUUUGUUGGGGGUGAAAAGUUUAUUUUUUCGAGUAUUCAAAAUCUUUUGUGGAAUUUGUCAAAAGGUCUAUAGAGAAUUCAAUAAAAUUGAAUAAUAUUGUCAUACAUGUGAGCCUUUUUCUUUUCCUCUUUUUUAUUUUAUUUUAUCAUUUUUCUUUGUAAUUCUUUUUACAUGAUUUUUUUGCUUUAUUUAAUUUUCACUCGACAAUUGUUCUUAAAUAUUUGCGUAAAAGGUAUCUCAAUUGUAUUUGAACAUCCAUUCAAAUCACCACAGGUAUCAUCCAUGUGUUGCACGUGUUUAUAACUAGUUAUUACACAUUAUUAAUGCAAUGCACAACUGUAUGGGUGUUAAAAUCUCAUUUGUUCUUAAUUAUGUAUUAAAGUGCUUUCUGCAUUUAAAACUUUUUGUUAGAAUAAAUUUAAAUUAAAGUUUAUUUUUCUUUUCGAUAGUAAUAACAUGACCAAAGUGCAACCAUGCACUUGCCAUAUAAAUCACAAUUUUAACAAUGCGAGAUUUUGAUUUUUACAAACUAAUUUGGAUCCACAUAAACAACUGUGAACAUAGACAAAACCAGAAAAUUUGCAUUGAAGGGUUGAAAUAUGUUACAUAGGAUAUUUUCAAAUUUUUAAGAGGGGCAAAAGGUAUACUUUAUAUAUGAUAUUUUUAAAAAUUUCCAAUUCUUGGAGGGAGAAAAACCUAAAUUUUAAAAGUUGUAAUGGCCUAUCCCCCUAAGUUCUAUCUAUGAUGAUAAACAAAAAGAACUUUUGAAAAGUGAAGAACCAAAGAAUUUAUAUUCACCUAUACAUUCACUGUCCAAUUUGUAAACUUAUGUGUUAACCUUAUAAAGUUUAGGGUCAAAAUCGGUUGUCCAUAUUAAGUUGCCAUAUUAAGUUUCGAUAGUAAUAACAUGACCAAAAUGCAACCAUUCACUUACACUUACCAUAUAAAUCACAAUUUUAACAAUGCGAGAUUCUGAUUUUUACAAACUAAUUUGGAUGCACAUAAACAAUUGUGAACAUAGACAAAACCAGAAAAUUUGCAUUGAAGGGUUGAAAUAUGCUACAUAGAAUAUUUUCAAAUUUUUAAAAGGGGCAAAAGGUUUACUUUAUUUAUGAUACUUUUAAAAAUUUCCAAUUCUUGGAGGGAGAAAAACCUAAAUUUUAAAAGUUGCAAUGGCCUAUCCCCUAAGUUCUAUCUUUGAUGAUAAACAAAAAGUACUUUUGAAAAGUGAAGAACCAAAGAAUUUAUAUUCACCUAUACAUUCAUAGUCCAUUUUGUAAAUUUAUGUGUUAACCUUAUAAAGUUUAGGGUCAAAAUGGGAUGUCCAUAUUAAGUUUCAUUAUGCCUGAGGUGCACUCCAAUACUUUCCCAUGAUUAUAUUAAAAGGAAUGGACUUCAACUAAUAUCAUGCUAUGAAGGACGUUAUAGCAGAUGCUGUAAGGACUCGAAAAUUCAUUUUCUAUAUUUUUGCUAGUUUAACUUGUCUUAAAUUCUUGAUUUAAAAAUUUUUUUUUAUAACAUCCUACUUUCUUUUAUUAAUAAUGAGGAAAUGACGGAAUACAAGAAGGAGGGCUACACCUUACCUCCAAGAACUGUUGAACUAUCUCCAGAGAUCACCCUUCAAACCUGAUGAAGGGAUACCUAACCAUUCCAUAGUAACCUCACUUUUAACCUCCCUGGGAGUUGAGCCAAUGACUCGUAUACACUGUUGAAACCCAAAUUUAUGCCAAACCUAGCUAGACUAUCAGUAGACCUAUUUGCCUCUCAAAAACAGUGCGUCAUCACUUGCACAUGAUGUCGCAAAGCUAAUAGCUCCUCAAAAUCACGUAUUAGCCACCAAGGGACCCCCAACUCGCCAUGGAACAUUCGAACCAGAAGCAAAAAAUCCGACUCCACAUGCACAGCCAAAAACCCUAUUGCACACAAAACCUCACCUCCGCAUGUGAGGACUUGCAAAUUCCUUACAUAUUUCUUGAAAUUUUCCUUUUAUUUGAAAAUUAUUUGGAAAUUAUUAUUCUAUACCAUAUUGCUACUUAAUCACCCUAGAAAAAAUGCCAAUGAUCAUAGGAAAUUAGGGUUUUCCUUUCCGAUUUCAAUUCGAAGUGAAAUAGGAUUUUUCGUGUAUCCGUCGUGUAAUUAUCCGGUACGGAGCGAGGAUCAAAUUUGGUGCUUAAGAGUGACUCUUGGGUGAGAAAUAAUAUGUGAUUAGAAGAAAUGAUAAAAAGUUAGUGAAUAGGAAGUAAAAACCUAGCUAGCACGUGUGAUUUAAGGAAAAACGGUGCGAACCGACAGGAACCGUGCACUACCGAUUGAACACACCGCUUGACCAUCACUUUCUUACCAUACAAGCUCAUUAAUAUUUGAGCAAAAUAUCUCCUUAAUUUCCAGCUAGCCUUGACCAAAUUUUGGGGCUGAAAUUGCAAGAAAGAAAAAGAAAAUUUUGCUUGGUAAUUGGUGGUGACAAGUGUCACACCAUUAAGGGUCUUGACCAAGACCAAUUGUCCAACCUUCUUAUCACCUUGGAGCUGCAUUUCUUCUUCAUUUUUUCUGUUGUUUGGCCGAGAGAGAGGGAGAGAAAAACACAAGUGAGAGCUGCCAUUUUUAUCUUGAGUUUGUGAGUGUUAAGUGAGGAACUAAAAUUCUAAACCGAUUAAAGAGUGAGUUGUGAGUUUGAGAAGCUAGGGGAACCAAGAAUUCCAAGAGGAGGUGAAGUAUCACUCUUACAAGCUUCAUUUGUUGAGGUAUAAGGCUAAACCAUGGCUUUGGUUCUUUUAUUUUGGUUUAAGUUGUUAUAUAAUACUUGUUUUGGUUGGAUUAGUGUGAUACAAGUUGUUAUGAUGAUUUAAAGGUGAUUUAUGUGAGUUAGGGUUUGAGGUAUUUGCUGCCUAUCCUUGCUAUAUGGAUGAUAUAUGUUGUAUUUAAGCUUAUAUAAGUGGUUGUGGUGAUGAUUGGAGCAAGUAAUCAAGAAAGGUUGCAUUGAAUCCCAAAAUUCCAGGUUUCUAGAAAAUUUCAGCUCUAUUCUGUCCGGUUUUAUUACACCAUGUUACAGGCUGAAUUAGGCUUGGUAUAAAACAUGAAAGUUGUAUAGAAUGAUAUUUUAUAGGUGUCUACAAAAUUUCAGCUCAAUCGGAGGAACGUAGCCUGUGAAAAGACCAAAAUACCCUCGCUGCCCUGGGCUAUUUCCAGUGAUCCGUUUUGGACAGUUCAUCCAAUUGACUGUGUUUAUUCACUAUGAUCCGUGCUGAUUUAGCCAUUUUCCAAAACAUUAAAGUUUUAGUACUCUGUCUUAGCUUUUAAACACCUCAAAGAACACCUUAAACGGACUUUGGUAGCCUGAGAUAUGGCCAUUUAAAUGUAGUAUGGUUACUUCGCCGAUUAGUUGGAACCUGGUUCUGUGAACUUGGAAUUUGAUUAGGUUACACUGGAAAUUUGACCAAGUGAUCUUCAUGAAAGUUGUAGGACUUCGUCUUAGCUCCGAAAUGGUAUAAGUUGCACACCAAUCCGAUAAGCGUAGCCUCAGAUGUGUUCUUUCCGCAAAAAUCCAUCAAAUCUGUCUUUUGUAAACUUCAUUUCCGCAUUUGUUAUUAGUUGAUUUAUGUCCUUGUAUUGUCUUGAGCCUAUGGAACGGCUAUUGAAAUGCAUUUGUGUUGUGUAUAAACUUGGGCUUGAAUGAGAAAAAUAAUGAUGAAGCCAUAAAUGGCUGGAAAAAUAGGUAAAUACAAAGGGCGUGCUGCCCAAAUUUUCGCUCGAGGGCUAAGUUUCUAUUUGAAUUUGUAUAUUUUCAUUUGGCAAAUACUAUGACCGUUUUACCAUUCCGUUUUACCAUUUCCAAAACAUGAUACCUCUUCGAUUUGAAACGCCAGAUGUUUACUUACUCCGUACCCAAAAAAUAUAGAGGUAUGAUUUAGGGUUUUCUCGGCCACAAGUGAACCACUUUUAAGUGAGGUUUUAAGUGUGAACGUAAGGUCGUAUUGUCCUCCUUUUCACAUGAUUUUAUCAUGACAUUUAGUCUAUACUACUUGCUUGGGUAUGAGGUGAUUUUGAACUAUCUAAACGAUUACGAAAACAAUAUUUUUAGCCUAUCUCGUUGGAGUCCGAGUUGUCUUUGGUCGAAGUGUUUUCCGCCGGACAUUUUAUAACCCGUUUGAGUUAGGUUUGUGUUUGGUUUAUGAAACCCUAGUUAUUUUCGUCCUUCGAUCCAAAUAUCCCCUUUUCACUAUAAAGGCGUCUUUAUACGUUUUACUUAUCAUUUGCGGUUUUUUUUUAUUUCACUUACUUGUUUGUGCUAGAUAGACUGUAAUAUUCUUUCUCAUUUACUCUUAGGUUUUUCUCGAUGACUGAGGUAAUAUCCGGAAGGAUAUUUGCACGUUGUUUUACGUAAAUAGGUGAGUGUUCCUUAUUUGUUAUGUUUUGACUAUAUGGCUUUUGGUAUGUAUGAAUGAUUUAACGUGUUAAAUGUUUUCAAUGAUUGGCCAAAAUGAGUUUUCUAGGCGAGUGUGUACUUUAUCGCACUCAGCCUAAAUGAUUGUGAAAUUUUCAAUGAUUGAACGAUUGAAAUGUUACUUGUGCAUGAAUGUAAGCCUUUGGCUGAACUGGCCACUGCCCCUUAUUACCGAUCGACUUGAGCCAGAAGCGGACUCGGUCGGGCGAUACGGUGACCUGGGUGAACGUUGGUAUACUCGAGUAUUACCUUGAAGUCUGGUGGAGCCUGACCAAUGUCCGGGAAGGGGGUGAAUGAAAUGAAUGAACGAAUGAAUGAACGAGGGUUUUUACUUACAACAAUGUAUUUUCAAAUGAUUGGAGAAAUAAGGGAAUGAAAGAGAAUGAAUGAAUGACAUAACGAAUGAAUGAAUGGCUCCUCGGAGCUCGUAUCCUUCUAUUGAAUAUGUUACCGCUUUAUAUUGUAAAUGUUACUUGAAUUACUAGUUGUAUAGGGUUAAUGCAUUGAGUUUAUUGUUUGCUUAUGUGUUCGGAACCUCACUGAGCUUUCUAGCUCAUUCCUUUAGUUUUGUUUUCCUUAACAGGGGAAGGCGUGCAAGGACGAGAGCUCCGUAUAGACUAGCCGAUCUAGUACUUUUGAUUCUUUUGUAAUGGUUCUCGCCCUAGUGCUUGUGGGCUAGUUGUAUGGUGAAUGAGAACCUUCGUAUAUUCGACGGUUGUACUUCCUUCUGAGAUAACAAUGUAUAUAAUUUUGUUUUAAGUUUUGGAUCCUUGUUUUGCUCUUUCUUGUGGUUUUAUUCUGAUUUUGCUUGAGUGAUCGACUGAGUCCCGGCGAGAGUUGGGCAGCGCGGUCCGCCGAACCCUUUGGUUCGCCUUAGGGGGAGGUGGGACUGUCACAGGUGGUAUCAGAGCCUUCUUUGCGUGGUCUCUGCUCGGAGUGAGCCUGGACUGAGCGUGUGAAUAGGUAUGAAGGAUUAAGUACUCGUUCGAGCAUAAGCUAUGAAUUUAUGAAUAUUAUAAGCCCUAAAUCUUUCCGUAGUAUCUAAGGAUCAUAGAUAGGUACGUUCGGGGUAGGAAUUUCGAUUGUAGAUAGUUUACUCUUGGACUGGCCAGCUCGAGAGGUGAAUUAUCUUAUUUCGGAUUCUGGUGCCUGAGUACUCCAGAGUUGCGACGGUACUAAGUAUUUGAGAUUUGCAUUUUGGAAAUAUGAACAGGCUUUGUCUGGCUAGAAUAAGUAUAAGAGGUUAAGGGACAUCGAGUCGGAUAGAAAGUGACGUGAGAGACCGGACGGGGAUUAUUCUAACUGGGUGCGGGACGAUAUAUCCUUUUUCUUUUGAUUCGCCCGUAUAUUGUCACUACAUGCCGUCAGUUGUGUAUUUGUGUAUAUGAAUAUCUGCCUGACUUGAGACGUAUUUGUAUAUUUGAUUAUUUAUUUCCUUGAUAUGUUUAUGUGGUGUGUUAUGUGUGUAUAUGUUUAUUUGGAUAUUUGGGGCCCUAAAUUUUAGUUACUUUAGUCACCUUAUUGUGUUUAUUCAUUAAAUUAUUUUUUUUUAAAAAAAAAAAGAGAAAAGAGAGAGGAAAAUAUAUAUGAAGGGAAGACGUAGUCAAGGACGAGGUCGUGGCCGUGGGACUAAGCGAGCCCAGGAGCCAAGAGAAGAAAGGGAAAUCAGAGUUGAACAAGAGCAAGGACCAAGGGUCGAAGCCGGAGACCAAAUGGCGAUGGCGAUGCAACAGAUGACGAAUAUUUUGGCACGACUGGUGGAUCAACAAGGCCAAAUGGCCGUGAAUCAACCGCAGAACCCUGAAAUCGGAGAAGACAAGGCUCUUGAAAGUUCCAGAAGUUUGCUCCUCCAAAAUUCCUUGGAGGGCCCGAUCCGGACAUAGCUGAACAAUGGGUAGAAACCAUGGUUAACAUCUUCACAGCUCUAAACUACACUGAGCAAAGGCAAGUGAACUUUGCAGUGUUCCAAUUUGAGGGACCGGCCCGAGCAUGGUGGAACGUGAUUAGAGCAAAGUGGGAAAGAGAACAGAUCGUAUGGACAUGGGCGAAUUUCAUAAGGGAAUUUAACGCCAAAUACCUCCCUCCUUUAGUCCAAGAGAGGAGAGAUGAGAGAUGAGGAGUUUAUUGGGUUACGCCAGGGAACGCUAAGUGUGGCCGAAUAUGAAACGAAUAUACAAGACUAUCCAAGUUUGCUUCUGAAUUGGUGGCCACAGAACAGCGAAGAGUAAGACGGUUUAUACAGGGAUUAAAUUUGGAAAUCCAAAAAGCAUUAGCGGCGGUACAAGUGAACACGUUUACGGAGUCCCUUUGAGAAAGCUCAAAAAAUCGAGACUGCAAAGGCACAGAGAAAAGCUCCCAGACCCGAAAAAGGGGUACAUCGGGCAGUAUAGUGGAGGAAUUAAGUGAAACAAUAACACCUCCUAAAGUGCAGAAAGUGAACCCGUUACUCCGCCCACCAUGGACAUUAGGAGCGGUAGAUGAAAGGUCUACUAAAGAAAGCCAAAUCGCGACCUGAAAAAGUUUUCAAGAAAACCAAAAGAUGGCUUCUCACGUGGUCUGUGGAUACUGUGGAAAGGCAAAUCAUGUCGAAAGCAAUUGUUGGAGAAAGGAUGGAAAUGCUUAAUCUGCGGAAGUUGCGAUCAUCAAGUUAGCAACUUCCGAGGAGACAGUCAUGUGAAAGCAAUACUCCGCAACUAGAUGGAGCUAAAUCACAAGUGAAUGAAAGAGGGAAACAAACUAGUGUACCGACAAAGGUUUAUGCUUUAGACAACCGACAAGCUCCGGACUCGUUGAGGCAACUGAAGGUAAAAAUUUCGAGGGCGAAAUUCUCUUAAGGGGGAGAGAGUGUGAGAACUUGCAAAUUCCUUACAUAUUUCUUGAAAAUUUCCUUUUAUUUGAAAAUUAUUUGGAAAUUAUUAUUCUAUACCAUAUUGCUACUUAAUCACCCUAGAAAAAAUGCCAAUGAUCAUAGGAAAUUAGGGUUUUCCUUUCCGAUUUCAAUUCGAAGUAAAAUAGGGUUUUUCGUGUAUCCGUCGUGUAAUUAUCCGGUACGGAGCGAGGAUCAAAUUUGGUGCUUAAGAGUGACUCUUGGGUGAGAAAUAAUAUGUGAUUAGAAGAAAUGAUAAAAAAGUUAGUGAAUAGGAAGUAAAAACCCUAGUACGUGUGAUUUAAGAAAAAACGGUGCGAACUGGCCACUCGUAUCCUUCUAUUGAAUAUGUUAACCGCUUUAUGUUGUAAAUGUUUACUUGAAUUACUAGUUGUAUAGGGUUAAUGCAUUGAGUUUAUUGUUUGCUUAUGUGUUCGGAAACCUCACUGAGCUUUCCAACUCAUUCCUUUAGUUUUGUUUUCCUUAACAGGGGAAGGCGUGCAAGGACGAGAGCUCAGUAUAGACUAGCCGAUCUAGUACUUUUGAUUCUUUCGUAAUGGUUCUCGCCCUAGUGCUUGGUGGGCUAGUUGUAUGGUGAAUUGAGAACCUUUGUAUAUUCGACGGUUGUACUUUCUUCUGAGAUAACAAUGUAUAUAAUUUUGUUUUAAGUUUUGGAUCCUUGUUUUGCUCUUUCUUGUGGUUUCAUUUCUGAUUUGCUUGAGUGAUCGACUGAGUCCCGGCGAGAGUUGGCAGGCGGUCCGCCGAACCCUUUGGUUCGCCUUAGGGGGAGGUAGGGCUGUCACACCGCAAGCAUCACCUUCAGUCUUGCCUGCAGACUAUUGGCUUCACCAAAAAACACGAGAGAAGGUGAAAUAAAAUGCCUCGAUGAAUCCCUUAGAAUACCACCCCCGCCUGACCUUCUUGGAUUACCCUACAGCACCCAUCAAUAUUCAACUUAGGAAUUAAUAGCUGCGACCUGCUCCAUUUCUGUCAGGAGAGCCUGCGAGGCUUGUCCCGCUUGACCACCAACUCAUAGAGAGAAGGCCAAGAGUGUGACGGCCCCACCUCCCCCUAGGGCGAACCAAAGGGUUCAGCGGGUCGCCUGCCCAGCUCUCGCCGGGACUCAGUCGUUCACUACAGUCCUCAAAUGAAAUUACGAGAUAAAUCUCAAAUAUACAUCACAUGGUCCACAAAUAUACAUCCAAGUCUCCAAUAAUUACAUGUCAUAAACGAAGAGGAAACAAUUCCCAAGCGUGGAACGUACACGUACAUCCGUUCAAGUCCAAACAUUCAUACAAACCUAACUAUUACACAAGAGAAAUCGAAAACUCAAACUAUACAGGAGAUAAUCCAUCCAGCCACAUGAAUAAGUACUACGAGUCCUUCUUUCGCCUUGAGCCCUGUGAGGGGAAUAAAAUAUUUUUGGGGUGAGCUAAAAGCUCAGCGAGUAACCAGAAAAAUCAGUAAUCAAAUCUGUUUCACAAUAGUUCAUUUCAAUGAUGUCAUAAAUCCAUGAUGGAGUAACAAUAAUUCAAGAAACAUUUACAAUGGAAAGCGAUAGUAACAUUCAUUAAAAGGAUACGGGCCCACAUGGAGCUAUUUGUUCGUUUAUUCGUUCCCCGGACAUUUCCCUUAUUCCUCCAAUCAUUUAAAAAAAUAUUUUUGUAAGUAGAAUCCCUCGUUCAUCCUUUUGUUCGUUCAUCCCUUUUCCGGACGUUGGCCGGACUCCACCCAUCCGACCAUUGGCCGGACUCCACCCAUCCGGACGUAGCCGGACUACAAGGUAAUACUCGAGUAUACCAAAUUCACCCAGGGUCACCAUAUCGCCCGACCGAGUCCGCUUCUGGCUCGAGUCAAUCGGUAACGAAGGGCAGUGGCCAGUUCAGCCAAACGGCUUACAUUCAUGCGCAACUAGCAUUUAAUCAUUAAUCAUUGAUUUUUAUUUAGGUCGAGUGCGAUAAAGUACACACUCGCCUAGAAAACUCGUUUUAACAAUCAUUGAAAGCACUUAACACAUUAUCAAUCAAUAAUAACAAGCCAAUAAGUCAAGAAAUACAGCAAACAAGGAACACUCAUAUGCAAGUACGCAUGAUAUGCAAGAAAACAGUUCAAAAGUAACUUUGGAAACAGGUCAAAAGUAAAUAAGACAAGAAAACAGUUCAAAAGUAACUUUGGAAAAUCAUUGAUUAAUCAUUAAUCAUUGAUUUUAUUUAGGUCGAGUGCGAUAAAGUACACACUCGCCUAGAAAACUCGUUUUAACAAUCAUUGAAAGCACUUAACACAUUAUCAAUCAAUAAUAACAAGCCAAUAAGUCAAGAAAUACAGCAAACAAGGAACACUCAUAUGCAAGUACGCAUGAUAUGCAAGAAAACAGUUCAAAAGUAACUUUGGAAACAGGUCAAAAGUAAAUAAGACAAGAAAACAGUUCAAAAGUAACUUUGGAAACAGUUCAAAAGUAAAUAAUGCAGGAAACGGUUCAUAAAUAACUUUAGAAAUAGUUUGAGGUCACACACCUCCACGGCUCAGAAAUCAUCCAGCAUAUAACAUUGCCUUGCACAAAUCCAAGUCUUAAAUCACAAACUCAAUGCAAACAAAUCCCUUCAAAGUUCGGACAGCACUUCCCUGAAUUUGCUAACUUUUCUAGCCAUCAUGGCUUCAUUAUUUCCUCAUUCCAACCCAAAGGUACACACACAACAACAAGUUCAUCCAAUAGCCAUUCAGCAAGCUCCAAGUAGUACUAGUACAAGUCAAGCUAGGGAAAAGUCCGGAAAUGAAAGUUAAGCUCAAAACCAGAAAAACAGUUUUGACGUCAUUUUGGGUAAUGGCACCAAAGGUACUACGAUGGUCGGAUGAAGGUGAAAAAUCCACCGUUUCGAAGCUAAGAGACAGGGCUACAAUAUUGAAGAAGGUCACUCAACCCAGUUUCGAGUGUAACCAGGUCAAAAAUGCAAGAUACUAUACCAGAAUCACAAAAACAGAUUCACAGAACGCAUUCUAGCGGAAACAUCAUAAAACAGGUUAUCCAAGUCCAAAUCCAGAAAUUCCAAAACCAACUGAAAGCUAAGAAACAGGGCUACAUUUCAUCAGAAGACCUCAACAACCAAUUUAGAAGCAAUUCCAGCCAAAACAACCAAUUACAGGCGCAAUUCUUACAUUCGGGUAAAACCAGAACAGCAAUAGUAAUUUCGAUUUAUCUCAUUCUACACUACUCCGAUUGACCUGAAAUUUUGUAGGAACCUCUAAAAUAUCAUUCCCUAAAACUUUCAUGUUUUAAGCCAAGGCCAAUUCGGCCUCUAUCUAUGAGCUAUAAAUUCGGGCAGAAUGCACAAUCAUAAACCCUAACUUUCCAAAAUUUCUUCCAAAACAGAAAUUGUUUGCAAUUUACCCCUUUUUCCACCUCAUAGAGUCCUUAAAUAUCAUUUCCAAUCAUCAUACAUGACCCCAUAAUCAUACCCAUAUGAAAACAGAAAAAUCCCCAAUAAUUAUAAAACUUCACCAAUUCAACCAAAAUCAAGAUAUAAUCCAUCAAACCAUCUCUUUAGCCAUCACAAGUCACUAAUUUAGCAUAAUCAAGAACAAAGAAAGGAUUGCUAGACAUGAACCUUGAAAUAUCAAGAAAGUUGAUGGCUUAGUCCUUUGCCUUCUCUAAUCACUCCACCACUACCUUCAAUCUUCCUAAACAAGUGACUUUUGUGGAGGAAUUUGAAAGUUUAACGGUUGAUUCACAAGAUUGAGCAAGAAAUGGAGUUGGAGUUGAAGGCUUUCUUCUUGUAUUUUUCUCCAAGAGGUUCGGCCAAGCUUGCAGAAAUUUAGGUGCUUUUUGGGUCAAAAUUGAGUAUUAGUAAAGGUAAGAAAUAAUGGUCAAAGUCAAGGUUAAAUCACAAGGUGACACUUGUCACCUUUUUGGUUUAAAACUUAUCUUUUUGUCUCUCCAAUACAAAUAUCUUAACACCUUGUAAAAUAAUAUCACUUAAUACAAAAUUCCAACAAGUUGUCAAAAAUAUAAUGCAUUUACCGCACUUGCGGGUCCCACGUUCAAAAUACGCUCUUAAUUUCUCAAAAACUAACCGAUACUAGAAAAAUCAUUUUAAAACUAUCUUUGCUCAUAAACUUUAUCUGGGGAAUUUUUCUAAUAAAGAAAAUGUAGAAAAGGCGGGCGAUUAAAAAAAAUAAACCCUAGAAAUGUGAGAAAAUUUUUGGGUUCUCACUCUCAUACUUUUCGGGGCGUCACAAAGAGAAAUCGCUAUUAGCAAGAUUAGGAAAUUGACCGCACAAAAUCUCUCGCAGUUCCCCUAGAAAACGCAAAUAAAUAAAGUCCAUCGUCACCCCUUUGCCUUCAAAGAGCAUAGAAUUCCUAGCAUAAAUUCUUGGUUGCUUUACUGGUUGAGCCAUAAUUUUAUCUUAUUGUCUUAUUUAACCUGGUACAUGUUUAACUUGGUACAAGUCGAAAUUCAUAAUGCAUUAUGCUAGGUUGACCAACUAGUGAGGUGUGUACAAUAAAUUUAGUGAAUUAGAGGGAGUUUUGUGCCAAAAGGUUUUUGUGAUAAGAGGUGUUAAGAGUUAAUUGGAGGAAUACUAGAUAUUUUGGUGAUUAGAGACAAAUAGAGAGACAAAGAGAUAGGCAUGAACCAUCCUUCGCUAAAUGUCGAUCAUCUAACUAGGGUUGACCAGACCACCAAGACUUCUUCUUAUCCAACCAAUCUAUCAUUCCAUCACUAUUUCUUCUUCCUUGGCUGACUUUGAGAGAGAGAAAGGGAGAGAAAAAAAACCUCAAGUUCUAGCCUUGAUCUCUUGCUUGAUUCUUGGAAAAUCCAAAGAAAAAUCCUAAUUUACUCGGUAGAUCUUUGAAGCAAGCGUGGGAGAAAGCUUUUGGUGAAGUUCUUGGAGGAAGGAAGCUCUUGAUUUGCUUUCCAUAUUAGGUUUUUGAGGUAAUUUGUUAGGAAACUUCUCUUAACUUUAAGUUUAUUUGAUUUAUGAAGUUAUAAAGGCUAAAGGAAAGACUUGUAAGGAGGAUUUUAUGGUUUUUUCAAGAUUAUGUUGUAAUUUUCAACUUUAGUGUAUAAUCUAUUUAGCUUAGUACAGAGCUUUAUAUAUGUACAAUUUUGAUGGAAAGGAAGGAUUUUAGGUGGAUUUCAUGUUAUAGGGAUUGAAAACAACCUAAGAGAGGGGUGAAUUAGGUUAUUUAAAAACUAAUCAAAUUAUGAGAUACUUUUUUGCUCAAUAUGAAAUUUACCAUCUUUUCUAGGUGACCACUUAAUGAAUCAAUUAGUGAGAAAGCAAGAAAACUGAGAGUAGAAGAGAUAAGCAAUUAAGAUUCACAAGAUAGUAAGUAAUAAGGAAAGAAUAGCAAACCAAUUUCACUUACAAGCUCCACUUGAACUUGAAUAUCACUUUAUAGAAUAAGUUUUUUCAAGUUGAUCAAAUACAACUAAUCUUUAUGUACAAAGGAAUGAUCACGUCCUCCUUACCCCAAACUACAUUUGGUCAAGUUAACAAGUUUACUAUCACUCCGGAUAACCCUCACAAAGCUACAGUGUUGAAGUAUUUUUCUCACACAAGAAAAGCUUACACGAAAUUCACACAACUAAGAGUACAAAUCUUCUUUGUAGAGUAUUUUCUUACUAAAAUCACUCUUGAUCUUUUAUAGUCUCAAUGUGCAAAAGUCCUCUCUGAGUGGUUGGUCAUGCACUAUUUAUAUGAGACCAAAAAGGGACACUAUUAAUGCUUCCAACGGAUAGAAGGCAGCUGAAAAGUCAAAUAGUCGUUGGGAGUGUGGGACGUCCGGUGCUCCAGUUUCUUGCGUCCGACAGCAGGCAGUGAGCUUGAGAGAUUUUCUUCAAUUCUUUCGGACGUCUGGUGUCUCUGAUGCUUGCGUCUGAAAAUAGAUGGUGAAAUUGAGAAAUCUUCAAUUCUUUCGGACGUCCGAUACCUCUAAUGUUUUGCGUCCGAAGUGCUGCCUAGUUUAUCGGACGUCCGAUAUCUCUGAUGUAUGCGUCCAAAGAGGUCAGUGAGUUAGGUGGAAUAUUUUAAUUCUUUCGAACGUUCGGUGAUGGAGUUCUUCAUGCUUCCGAAGUGUUGCACAUUUUAUCGGACGUCCGGUCCUAUCUUCACAAGCGUUCAACAGCUUUCACCUUCCUUUAUCUCUUUCAAUUACACUGAGAUAUUUCUUGAAGGGAUAUUAGUAUUAUCCAAUUAUUUUGUAACAUCAAAAGUUAGGAACCAAGAUUGACAUUCUCCCCCUUUUUGAUGAUGACAAAACAAUGGAUGGAAGAGAGAAAAUUGAGCAUAAAUCCCCUUCACUCGUUGCAUCCAAAAUUUUUUAAGUACCAAAACCAAAAAUUUUUAAGUGUAACUCCCCCUUACACAACCACCAGUUACAUAACAUCCCAACAUCCAUUUCUCCCUUUUUAAGUGUAACUCCCCCUUACACAACCACCAGUUACAUAACAUCGCAAUAUCCAUUUCUCCCCUUUUAAGUGUAACUCCCCUCAGAAUAACUCCCCUUACACAACAUCCCAACAUCCAUUUCUCCCCCUUUAAGUGUAAUCCCCCUCAGAAUAACUCCCCUUUACACAACCACCAGUUACAUAACAUCCCAACAUCCAUUUCUGUGACGCCCCGAAAAGUAUAAAUGUGAGAACCGAAAAUUUUCUAAUUUUCUAGGGUUUAUUUUAUUUAAUCGCCCGCCUUUUCUACAUUUUCUUUAUUAGAAAAAUUUCCCAGAUAAAGUUUAUGAGCAAAGAUAGUUUUAAAAUGAUUUUUCUAGUAUCGGUUAGUUUUUGAGAAAUUAAAAGCGUAUUUUGGACGUGGGACCCGCUAGUGCGGUAAAUGCAUUAUAUUUUUGACAAUUUGUUGGAAUUUUGUAUUAAGUGAUAUUAUUUUACAAGGUGUUAAGAUAUUUGUAUUGGAGAGACAAAAAGAUAAGUUUUGAACCAAAAGGUGACAAGUGUCACCUUGUGAUUUAAUCUUGGACUUUGACCAUUUGACUUUACCUUUACCUUUACCAAAUAAAUACCAAAAAUUGGCCAAAAAAUCUCUUCAUUUUGCAAGCUUCUUGGCCGAAUGUUCUUGCUCAAGAAAGAAAGAAAAGCUCUCAAUUUCUUCCUUCUAUUUCUUGCUCAAUCUUGCAAUCCAACCAAUAAAACUCUAAAUCAUUCCAUAAAAUCUCUUUGCUAAGUGGUCUUGCGGUGUUUUGUGGAGUUGUUUGGAAAGCUAAGGUGACUAGUUGCUCUAUCUCUUGUAUUGCUAAGGUGAGUUGUGAAGGACCCUCUCCUUCCUUAAUUGAUGCUUAAUUCAUGAUUAGUGGUGGUAUAAGGUGCAACUUUAUGGAUUAUUUCUUGGUUUUGGUUGAAUUGGUGAAGUUUUAUAAUUUUUGGGGAUUUUUCUGUUUUAAUAUGAGCAUGAUUGUGUGGCUAUGUAUGAUGAUUGGAAAUGAUGUUUAAGGACUCUAUGAGGUGGAAAAAGUGAUCAAUUGCAAUCAAUUUCUGUUUUGGAAGAAAUUUCAGAAAAUCAGGUUUUGUGAAGGAGCAUUCUGUCCGAAUUUUUAGCUCCUAGUUAGAGGCCUAAUUGGCCUUGGUUCAAAACAUGAAAGUUGUAGGGAAUGACAUUUUAAAGGUUCCUACAAAAUUUCAGGUCAAUCGGAGUAGUGUGGAAUGAUAAAAGUCGAAAUUACUAUUGCUGUUCUGGUUUUACUCGAAAUUGAGAAGUGCGUCUGUAAUGGGUUAUUUUGGUUGAGAUUGCUUCCGAAUUGGUUGUUGAGGUCUUCUGAUGAAAUGUAUCCCUGUUUCUUACCUUUCAGCUGGUUUUGGAAUUUCUGGAUUUGGACUUCGGUAGCUUGAUUUAUGAUAUUUACCCCAGAAUGCGAUUUGUGAAUCUGUUUUUUUCCGGUUCUGGUGUAGUUUCUUGCAUUUUGACCUGGUUACACUCGAAACUGGGUUGAGUGACCUUCUGUAAUAUUGUAUCCCUAUCUCUUAGCUUCGAAACUGUGUAUCUUGCACCUUCAUCCGACAAUCGUAGUGCCUUUGGUGCCAUUACCGCAAAAGGACGUCAAAACUGUUUUUUCUGGUUUUGAGCUUAACUUUCAUUUCCGGACUUUUCCCUAGCUUGACUUGUACUAGUACUACUUGGAGCUUGCUGAAUGGCUAUUGGAUGAACUUGUUGUUGUGUGUGUACCUUUGGGACUGGCUGAGGAAAUAAUGAAGCCAUGAUGGCUGGAAAAGUUAACAAAUUCAGGGGAAGUGCUGUCCGAACUUUGAAGGAACUUGGUUGCAUUGAGUUUGUGAUUUAAGACUUGGAUUUGAGCAAGGCAAUGUUAUAUGAUGGAUGGUUUCUGAGCCGUGGAGGUGAGUGACCCUAAACUAUUUCCAAAGUACUUGUGAAUUGUUUCUUGCAUUAUUUACUCGAUUGCAUCUCAUGCGUGCUUGCAUGUGAGUUCAUGACAUGAUUUGGCUUCAAUGAGUUCUGGGAAAGUCUUGUGCUAGACACCAACGUCUCCACUCUGUUUAUGGUUAAUGUUCAUGUUUAUCUGGAGCUCAAAAAGGGGCUCCCUCUCAAUGUUAAUGUUAAAUGAUCUAUUUGAGCGUUGGGUGUUCAAGUGCUAUGAUUUCACUGGCUCACGAGAGCAAUAAACGGACAUUUGUCGUCGCUUUCUUUGAUGCCCAUCAACUGCUUUUCUCAAUGUUGAAAUUCCUAAACCCACACGUGACCUUUCCGAUAGCUUUCCAUUUAUGUCAUCAGCUAGGACUCCUGCUGGGUUUUCUAAAGCUAUUGCAAUGACUUCAGGUCUUUUGCUACUAUAUUUCCUAACUACUUUUCUCAGAACUUCGGAAACAGUCCUCUCCAUGUGAACCAGAGGUGAGCUUACAGGACAACUUGAUAGUGCAGCAUGUGCAGCUUUGUGCAGUGCAUCUAAAAGUUUUCCUUUGUCAAGCCAUAAGCAACGUGUUGUAAUUUUUAUCUUCCCUUUUAGUGUUUUCUCCGUUAGACUGUUUGAAGCCUGGGGGCGUAAAAUUUCCAUACUGCAAGAAAAAAUGAGAAUUAUCAAUCUUCCACUGCAAGUUAAAGAAAAUUAAGCCUUUUCAGGUGUCUUGCACAGUUUACCUGAUGACUAUAAUACCAUCUGAUGCUAUCCUAAGUCUCUCAUCAAUGCAAAGCUCGGUAGAUGUCCCAAAUGCUUUGUCACCAUCACUAUACAUCAACUGCAAUUUCAACAGUAUGUAAGCAAAACUUAACUGUUAAAACAUCUGGAUUAUCUGAAAACUGAAAAGCAAAUCCAUUUUGAUUACAGGGUGCAACUAUUUGUUUGCUUUGCAGUGUGUUCGUACAUGUGUUAGCAGGUUUGAAAGAGAUAACCACCUGUAGGUUUUCUUUCCCCAGGGAAGUGAAACCAUUAGAUAGAACUCUUCUGUUCCUCAGGUGUGAGACACCAAGCAUCUCUCCAUUCUUUAUGACCUGAUUUGAUAAAAUAGCCAUUAACCAGACUCUAUGAAGCUACCCGACAGUAGGUACACACCAAGCCUACACAGAACAGUUAAUGGCACAUAGCAAGCUGCACUACAUUAGAAGAAAAUUACUGUCACAGGACUAUUUCUUUACAAGUCCUGCAAGAGCUUUUUGAUCCUUCAUCCACCUUAUAAAAGUGCAAGGACUGGAUUUUCUUAGGCUAACAAACCAUCACCGAAAAUCCGUUACAUUUGCUGAGGAUGGUUCUCAUGGUUAAUUGUGCUGUCAGUGCAAGACCAUGGUUAAUUGUGCUGUCAGUGCAAGAGACUAUGUAGAAAGCAACCUUCUUCUUGAUGUUAAUAUCACCUAACACUAGGAACAGUGCUAAGCAACAAUAAAAUCAUUACUUACCACAGUAUGCCGAAUGCCAGUUGAUUUUCCCAACAAUUCAUGCUCUUUUAGGAAUAAAAGCUCCCCAUGAAUGGGUAGAAAAUGUUGUGGCUUCACAAUUUUAAGCACUUCAUCCUUCAAGAACGAAAGUCAAUUCAGUGUUUCAUGACCACACAAGUUUAAAGUCCAAUAUUAAUAGAACAAACUAAAAAAGGAACAUACAGUAAUUGCUAUCAACGUUAUUCACAAAUCUCGUAGUUACCAAAAUGUUGAACAAAAAUCACAAAUGAAAAGACAAAGACCUGCGAUGCUUUACUACAUCUCAAUCAUAUUAAUAUAAUUCAUUACAACUAUCCCUAGUAUCAAAUCAUAUCAAAAGGAACUCAAAUGAUACAAUCAUUUCUCAAACUCUAAAAAAUGACAGCACAUAAAAGAUGAGGUGCUCUGACUUAGAUCAGUAUCAAAAGUAUUUUUUUUUUUUUAAGAAAAAGAGGCAAAAAAAGAUUUCUGCAUGAUGAUCAUCUUACCAAUUCUUCACGAUGAGCAUGACCAGACGAGUGCAAGUACUCAUUCUUGCCCAUCACAAUAGCUGACCCUAUUUCUGAUAUACGAUUAAGCAUUUUCAUCACCCGAGUUUCGUUACCAGGUAUAACCUAUAAUAAAUCAUAUAAACAAUGAAAACCACAAAUAUAUACAGCAGAACCUUGCGGAAAGAUUAACAAAAAGUAAAGCUUUAACAUGACGAUUUAAAUAUCCAACCAGGUCAUCAUUGUACAAAUACUAGGCAAACAAAGACACAUCUGAAAAGGGAUGGUAACAUCUAGCAUGUCAUCUGAAGCAAUCGACAUCUUAAAAGGAACUUAAGUCAGAAACGCUGAACCAAAAAAUUGACUAAAAGGUCAAUGUCAACAUGUAAGGUAUGUUUUGACACAGUCUAUAACUUUUUCAUGUCAAAUUUCAUCCGAGGAAGUGACAAACUGCCCUCAAAAUUAGGAUUCAAGUUGAAAGGAGGAGUACAUAUACUCCAGUUUGAACAGAUGACUCAAAAGUUUGCUUAGCCAGAGUAAUUCAUUCAACAACUCUGAAACUGCAUCACGUUGCGAGAUAUACUAAACUCAAAUCAACAUCAACCCUGUUGCUCCAUCAAUAGCUAUACCGAAGAAAGCCGCAUCAGACAUAGUUAGUAUAGUUAGGUUCCCAGUACACCGCAUCCAUAAUAAUGACCCCUCAACGAAAUGACAAUUUUCCGAGAUUUUCACAAAAAAAAAAUGUGUCUUUAAGAAUUCGUUCUCUAAUUAAACCGGCCGCUUCAUGAUAUUAUUAUGAUACUUAUGUCACCACGGAUGUGUUGAUAUCUGCCAUAUCUAAGCCUCCUCUUCCUUCUUUUUCUUCUUAUUGAUUUCCUUUGCAUGCUCACUUUGUUACCAGAAGAAGAUUAGCAGUUAUCAGAAUAAAAAAUGUUUUAGAUCUAGAACAAAUAUAGAUAAUCUGAUUACUCAGAAUAGCAUUUCAAAGCAAGCUCAGACACAAAAGACACAAGGAUUUUUAAUGUAAAGAUUGCAAGGAUUGUAGCCUGAUAUUACCUAAAUCCCCACUAAAACCUUAAGCCACAGUUACAACCAUUUCAUACGCAAAUCUCAUUGGUGAUUUGCAGAAACAGCUCCAGAACACAUGGGUUUCCACUCAACUAAAACUUUGAUCACUUGUUUCUUUCAUUUAAUUAGUCUAAGGAAACUAUUUACAUGCCUUAACUUAGAAAGACUCAUUAAACAUGUAUAAAGCACAGGUCUGAAAUACAUUUGAAAUAUCCACCAUGAAGAUAUUUCACAUAAUUACUCAUUUCUAUCUAGAUGCCUAUAAAAGCAAUGCCUUGGCAGUUCAGUUUCCCAUGCAGACACACUUUCACAUUCCUAUCAAAUCCCUGUUUAAGCCCUCAUCAGCAUUUGUUGGACAGCUUCCAAAUUGAUCUUUGCCAGGAAGAUAUCAAUAAUAGUCUCCUAAAACCUCACAUUCUUCCUUGUCUACAGAUGUUACUAUAUCUACAUCUGUAAUUGAAGUAUCCAAAUCAAUGAAUUUCUAUUGUUAUACUGCACAAAAGGUUUCCCCUGCAAAUCACCAAGAAUGUGUCAUUUUUAAUUCCAAUCAAUGUAUGUCUGACAGAGACUGGCAGUGACAUCUUUUAUUAGGUAAUGUUAACCGGAAACUAGCUGUAACAUCUUUUAUUAAAUUCAGUGUAUUACGGUCUUUCUAUUUGGGGAUCUAGUAAAAUCAUUGCAACUGCAGAUAGAACAGUUGAUACUACAUCUCCCAGUGAUAUGCUGUCCAAAUUACCCAAAAUCUCAUCCCACUCCCAAGAAGAGGUACAAAAGCCCAUUCUUAAUUUGUAUCAUGCAAUUCAGUUAGUUACUAAGACUUCCUCUUCCUCCUCCUCCUUUCUUUUCCCUUAAGAUUGCUUUAAUUUCAAAAAGCACUUGACACAAAUUGUAUAGUGUAGUUAUUUUCACCACUCAAAGUCAUUACUUCAAUUAGUUUAAAUUACAGCAAUAAAUUCCAUGCAUCAAAUUUCUUAGAUCUCCUCUCAUCCUAUUUUCUGAUCAUAUUAUUUAGACAUUUUCAACCAUCUAGAAAAGCAUAUGUGCUGAUACAUUUUUUUUAGGCCAAGUGGAGGGCAAUCACUCAUGGUUAGUCUGUGUAUGAGAAAUGCAGUUUAUCUGAACUUUCAUUUAGCCUACGAAAUAUUUUCAUUAGUUUGCUUUAAAGCUCCAUCUUUCAUGAUAUCUCACCAGUCUCAUCAGCUAGCGUGCUUAUGGCUGGUGGAAGCUAGAUAAAAUUUGGCAUUGAACAUAAUACAUUUCUGAGGUAUGUCAGGCAUGUACAUGAUUUAUUGGAACAUUAGUUAGAGGAUUAAAAUACAGUGGCACCCAAAGUGGCUGAAAAGCAAAUACAUCUGCUAAUCUAUAUCCUUCAAAUAGAUAUUCAAGCUCCAAAGAGACUUCCAUAAUUUCCUACAAACAUAGUACGGUUAAUUUCUUCUCUCCAUGAGCAAUGCACUUAAUAUAACCUAUUCAGUGGACUCUUUAUAAUAUUUCACUGAGUCUCCUCAUUAGCUAGGGUCAUUGUGGAAUGUGGAUGUUGGAUAUGGUUUAUGCACCGAACAAAAUGCAAGUCUCAGGUUGUCUUUCAUGUAGGCAUAAGAUGCGUGGAUUUAUUAUAGGGUUAAAAGGCACUGGCACCCAAAUUGGGUAAUUAUGCAAAGAUAUAUUCACAUCUAUAUCCUUAAAUUGAAACCAAAAGCUCCAGAGAGAUUUCCAUACCUUCAAUUGGACUCAAAGUUCCAGAAAGACUUCCAUAAUCUUUUUCCUCAGAUUAGGUUGAUACUUGAGGUUUUCCUUUUUUUUUUUUUUUGGUUGGUUCCUUCUGCUUUUUCUUUUUCUUAUAUAUCACUAAGUAACCUACAAAAUAGACAAAUGAUCUUAUUUACUUUCCCAUAUCUUUUGCAUCAAUUUAUUUUUCUUUCUCUAUCUAUUAGUCUUCUCUUAGCUCUUCCUUUCCUUGCAAGAUAUUCAUUUGCAAGGACUGUAGUAGCAUUGCAAUAACCCCGAGUACAACCCCAUAUCUUCUUUGACAGGAUUGGUUAUAAUUGGACGGGCAUAAAUCAGGAAAAAGUGGUAAAAAGAGGAUUUUUUAAGCUAUAAUUAUACAAUUUGUCAGUCAUUUCAAAUAAUGUAUAUGAAAUAAUACGAGACUUUAAAACAUAUGAUCCAAACAGUAAUUUCUCUUUAAAAUGAAAAUCAUCCAAUGCCUUGCACCUAAUUGCUAUUAUUGCAACAGUUGCAUGCAAUACAAACAAAUUAUUCUGGAAAAAUCCUUUUUUUUAUAUAUCAUUCUCCCAACCUUUUCAUCUUCUUAAACACCGUUUUAUCUCACAUACAUUGGAUAACAAAAAUGCUAGAGUGAAUGAUACAAAAACAUUUCCAACAAAUCUUCAAUUCAAACGGACCCAAGAUAUCUAAAUGAGUAAAAGUAGCUUCAAAUGAAGGAUCAAACCUAUAGAUUCCACUGAGAUAAUGUGGUUUAGAGAAGAUGAAGUAAAAUACCAUUCCAAAUUUGAGGUCGAGAAACAUUUAUGAAAUUAUAAAAGACAAAAUCAUCUGAUCAGAUCAGAAGCAGAAAUACUUUUCAAAGUAACUCUAACUUGCAUGCCCAGCAAAUCAAGCUCUGAAAAAUUACCUUAGCAGAAUACAAAAUCAAAUCCUCUUGUGUCAGUUUGAGUGAAUGGCUACUUCCAUAUGAUGCAAGAUUCAGUGCAGCACGUGGUUCUGCCUGACACAAUAGGUGCACUUACUCAAAUGCUACAUCAGAAAUUUGGAUGAACAAUAAAAAGUCACUAACGGAUGAUCACAACUAAAAAAAAUCAACGUAACUUACUUGAGAGCCAGUAGUUACAAUGAGUAAAUCUUUGGGUGAAUAAGCAUCAAUGUCUUCCACUUUCACCUAUCCAUCACAUGUACAGUAUGAAAAGCAAGAAAGCGGUUUCUUAUUAUCAAAUUGGUGAUAUAAGGCAUUAGGAUGGAGGAUGAUGGGGUAGCUAUGAUUACUGAACGCAUACUCUUGCAUCAUCAUAUUAACCUCCAAAAUCUAACACAUCAACAAAAAAAAAGUACCAAAUGGCAGCAAUGGCCACACAUGUUGGAUACUACAAAAGGUAUAUUCAUGAGUCAAGAUUGGCAGGUGAUGCAUGUCCAAUUUAAUUACCAACAUCAGCAACUAAAUACUUUUGGGGCACUAAUCAUCUGCACAUCAGAAUUCACUUUUUCAGGCAAGCUCACCGAAAAAUGUUCACAUAUUGAUGUAAGACAUCUUGGUAGUGUAAAAGCAACCUGGAGUCUUUUCAAAACAAGCAAAAUUAAUCCUAUCAAAGAGAAUAUGGAAAACCACAUAUAUGGAUUGCUCAUAUUUCAUUUCUCUGGAGAACAAAUGUAACACAAACAAGCGUCAUAAAGUGAUUACCAGUGUUGAUGGAUCAAUAGGUGCCUUUCCAUCUUUCCAUGCAGCAUCCAGAUAUGUCCUCAAUGCCAUUCCAACAAAAACCUGAUGUGCUGAUAAAAAUUAUGUCUGUCCCUCAAAGUAAUGGGCAAGGACUAAAAAAUCUUAGAGAUCUUACCAAUUUUCUGCCGGUCAAGUCAGCUGCAGCUUUCACACUUCCGAGACGAUGAAUAUUUGAUGCAAAUUGGGUAGUGAUAACCCUGCCUUUAGCAGCUGAAAUACGACGCAACAAUGCAUCCGCUACAACAGUCUCACUAAGUGUCCUUCCAGGCGAGAGUACAUUUGUUGAAUCACUCAUCAUCUGCGAUUGAAUCGACCCAGUUAAUUCACUUCAAUAAAGACAGACACUCAGUUAAUGUAGCUAAUCAGUCCUGAUAGCUGAACACUCCACUUUGUCGGGCAUGCUUUACUGGCAACAAAAAAGAAUUGCUCUCAUUUUGUGCUCUUUGAACAUGAUUAGAGUUUUAGGCAUUAGAUUUUGAAAUUAUUUCUUGGAUGAUUAAAACUUUUUUGAAACCUUUCUUAGUGAAAUCAAAAUUCUGUUCUUCGUUCCAUGGAGGUGCCACUUCAGAUGUAUCCUACUGUUUUUGACUGAGGACUAAGCAAGAAGACAAUCAAAAAAUCUAAUUCAUAGUGUUUGGUUGUAAGGAAAAGCAUGAGAGUUGUAUUAGCGGUAAGCUACUUUUCCAAUGGUGUGUGUUUGGUUAAAGAGAGAAUUAUAAAAAUCUCCUGCACAUUACAAAGCUUUCCUACAUUUCAUAUCCUGCAAAAAUUGCAAGGUUUUGCUCAAAAAGAUUCAGUUACACAGAAGAAUCAUAAUUACCACUAAUCACCUAUUUCUCCUAAUUUUAUUUCUUGUCAAACUAACAUGCACAAGGAAGCAACUUUCUCUCUCCUAUACCUCAUUUUUCUGCACUUAGGUUUCCUGCAUAGAUUUACCACUAUUCAGACAUAGCAUGUUUGCCAAACGAUGGAGAGAAUGCCAGCAAGAAAAAUCAAAAGAGAGAAAACAAAACAUAGAGGAGUCACAAAAGACACAAGGAACAGAGAGGAUGAGCAAACAGGAAUUUCAGCAUUGGUUGAGCCUUCUUCCAGCAGUAGAAAAGGAAAGAGGGCAGGGGAACAAUGAAAAGAAAAGGAACAACAGAAAAGAAAAGGAUAAGCUGUAGUGAUGCUUUUAGGUGUGUGCAGGGUGCUUUCUAUGGGUUGUCAAUGUGAAUAUGCUAUGAUGAAGUGGUGCAGUGUUGGAGCUCUGUUUUGGGAGUGUGUGCCAGUGUGGCGUUGAACCCCAAUAGGCGGUGAUGGCCUUAUUGGUUGAAUGGUGAUAAAGACGGAUACUGUGGUUGUGGCUGUGAUCUAUGCAGCUCUGUGCUGGUCUUGGUGAACAGGGCUGUGCCGAACUGACAUGUGCCGCGUGUAAGAGUCAUAAUAUGGAAAUGAAGAAUGGAAGCAAGGAAGCAAGGAAGAAAGAAGGAAAGUGGAGGAGCAGCAGACACUGCUGCACCAGAUGGCAAGAAGUGGUAAUAAAAGAGGAGAGAUGAAGUAGAGAGGAUGAUACAGGAGGAACAGGAGAGUUAGGUAAGCAGAAAGGAUAAAGAGAUGGAGGUCAUGAAAAGGAGAGCAGCAACAUUCAAGGGACUGAAAGCAGAGAAAUAUAUGGAUAAGUAAACCCUAGAGGGACUAGAGGAGGAUGGGGACAAAAAGGAAGGGAAAAGGAAUAAAAAAGAAAAUACAAAGCCAGCCCAGAAUUUUACCAAUAUCCUGAAACUCGAUAAUUUAUCAAAACUAAGAACUUUGAGUGCCCCAGAGUGAUCUUCUUAAAAAAAUUUAGUAUGUAAUCCAACUGUUGAAUAAAACAAAAAAUCGUAAGAAGUUAGCCUGUUAGAUAAAAUUGCUAUUGAUUCAUACUUUAUACAUACAUUUGGAUUUGACUGCAGUCUAUUAGAGGUUUAUUGUAUGACAUAGACAUUAGGUUUAUUUAAGUUGUCCCCAAUAUUAACUGAAACUCUCCGUUAUAUAUCAAUAUAUGGCAUUCAGAAAUAUCUACAAGCUCAUACCAGAAAAUUUAAGUACUCCUAGGUAUUGGAUACACUUAAUUAAGGGCUUGUUCUCGGUUCAUUAUUUUAGCUGAUUAUGAAUUAGUGAUUUUAGAUAAUUAAUUUUGUGAUGUUCUCGUUUUGUUUUUGUAUUCAGAUUAUAGAUUUUUUAAUAAGCAAAAAAGCUAAAAUCCAUAAUCAACCGAAGAGUAGCUUUUGCUGAUUCUGACUGUUCUCUAUAAUCACUUUCCAUAUCAGAUUUUGCAAAAUCUAAAGCAAGUGAGAACAAGGCCUAAGUAAUACUACUGAAUUAGCACAUUGAACUGAUAUUAUUCAUCACCAAUAAAUGGUUGAUGUAUCUUUUACUAAGAAACAUGAUGAUCACAUCAACUGAAUGCCCAGAAAAUAUAAGAUAAGAAGUCCAAAAAAAUAAAGACAUCUUCAGUUAAUUAUCUCCCAUAGGUUCCAAUUUUAUCCAUUGAUUUGACUUGCUUUAAGUAUAGGUACUUGUUCAGCAAAUAGGAACUAAGAACUUAAACUUUCAAAAACUAGAACUGAACUUAAAAGGUACCAAAAUAUUGAAAAAUAAUAGUGAUGAUAGGUUUUUAGGUCAAGGAAGACCAGGAAAAAAAAAGAUAGAAAUCCAGUAAAAUGUCCAAAUGUCCCGAUAGGAUAGAAUUUCGACAGCAACUGUAUAUCCCCUUCUUACCCAUCUAAUUUGAAUUUUUAAAUCCUAGAUACCCAACGGCUAUAUAUUUUCAGCAAUGGAAACGCAAAAUCUGAAGCUCUAAGGUGCAUUCAAUGUUUCAGAAAUGGCCUAGUGAGGAAAAAAAUAUCAUGCAUUCUGUAGAAUCAACUUAAACUAUAAAACAAAAAACAAAAAACAAAAGAGCUUAAUGAUAAUCUAGUGCUUACCAAGGUAACUCCUUCUUUAGAAAGCUCUUCUAAAGUUCCACGGUCAAAUACUUUCCCAUCUAAUGGUGUCUCAUCAAUCUGUUGAAUUUGAUAAACUUGUUAACCAAACGUAACUAUUCGGAAAGAAAAGAAAGACAUCCACCAAACAGAUACCUUCCAGUCCCCUGUGUGAAGAAUAGUACCAUCAGCACAGCGAAGAACCAAUCCACAACAAUCUGGAAUGGAAUGUGUAACCCUAAUCGGUUCCACCUCAAAUGGCCCAGCAACAAAUCUCAUUUUUGUUUUAAAUAUCUUGAGCCUAGAAGGAAUAAAAAUCCCAAACUCCUUCAAUCUCUUCUUGAUAAGCUGCACAAAAACAGGAAAGGCUACUGCAUUUAACAUUAGCCAGCAUAAACUAAAAGCAUUAGGUUUCAAUGUGAUAUGAUGCAUCUCAUGAAGUAAACUAACAAGCACUAUUAUGAUAUAGUGCAACUCAUGAAAUGAUAUUAUGCAUCUUGAAAUGCCAAAAAGUGAUACAAUGUGCAUCGCAACAGCAGAUUCAGGAAUCAACAUCAGACUGGCAUUGCAUGUUUGAUUUAAUAACAGGAUUAGACAGGAUUACUUUUCAGAAGACUAGUGUGCUUCUCAUAACAGGAUAUUUUUUCUAAUACAAGUAGCCAGUUUUUUUUUUCUCCUCUCUUGCACCAGAUUAUUAACAGGCUAUGAUGAAGAUAGAGGUAUAAGGCUUCAGGACUCUGUUUAUUGGUUUUUCAACAAGUACAUGCAUUCUUUGGCAAAUAAGCAAUGUCCUCAUGUUAUCAGAACCAGAAGUAAAUCAAGAUACAUAAUAACAUGCGAACAUCGUAUAUAACGUUCCCAUGUACAUGGGCUAUGAUUUUAUCAUAGAAAUGGGUAAAUAACAAGCACAGAAACCAACCAUAUAUAGGGUAGUCCGGAUUGCUCAUACAAUCCAAUGUGAUCACAUAAGUGGAAUGAACGUUAUGAAAAACGGCAAAAUCAUUUACAUUUUACAUAUCUCAUAUCUUCUUAUCUGGACAACUAUAUAUGAAUGAGAUGCAGCAAUUCUUGAAGGUCAUCUAACCACAUCUAUGCAUCUCAUGUCAUAGGUGUGGCAACUUACACAUAAAGCGUUUGAAUAGAAGAAAACUUCACAUAAUUGUAAAAUUCCUGUUACAAACCUCCAUUGUAAAGGAAGAUGCAAAUAUAGGCGUGCUUGCAUCCAAAGCAGGAAUUACCUGUUUCAGCAAACAAAACUGAUGAAUGAGAGAGAAUUAUGUCAUCAAAUAGACAUGUUUACAUAGGAGGAUCAUUUUCUAAUAUUGAUAAUAAGUAUAAUGGAAGAGAACAGAAUGAUAGAUGAAGAGAAUGUAGCCUGACUCAGGAUACUAUUGCCCUUAAAUUCAGCAGGGAAUGAGUCCUAGCAGUGUUUCAAGUAUUUCAAUUUAAGUUAAAAUUUUCAACUAUCUACUUGAAGCAGUUUAUUGGAACUCUAAAUGAAAUGAAAUUUUCAUGAAUAAUUGAUUCCAGUAGCUGAGAUUAUGUAUAGCCAAUUGCAUGCAUUGCAUUUGUCAUUUUCCAUUCCAUAAGAGCAUAGUACUACUAAUGUGUUACGCACUAAAUAACGACUUGUUUUCUUUGUCUUGAAACUUUGAUGAACUGCAACAGGAAACAAGUUACUUAACCAGCCUCAGGCAGUGAAAAAAAUGAGCUCCAUACUGACCACCACAAUAGAAAAACUAAAAGUACCUCAAGCUAAUGUUGCUUCAGAAUAGAACCACAUUCAAUGAAGGAACCUCACCAAUUUAACCAUUCAAAUUACUAGAAGAAACCAAAGUAAAUCAGCAAGGGAGAACCUUUAGUGACAACCUUAAGACAAAAAAACUACUUUCAUAUAGCAUUCCCUACAUUUAAUUGUUUAUUCUCUUAAAACUGUCUCAGUUUAAAGAGACUUGUCCAUUUAAUGAGCAAUAAAAAAGAAUUUCAAACAAUCAGAAAUGUUUAUAAAUUUGAAUGACCAAUACAACACAGAAAUAAUUCAAGAAGCUGAACAGAUCUUUACCCAAGGCAACGCACCAAUGUGGUCUUCAUGACCAUGGGUUAUUACAACUGCUUCAAUUUUGUGGCUCCAUUUCUUGAUAAACGUGGUAUCAGGUAUGAUUUUCUGGACGCCAAGCUCAUCAUAGCUGAAAGCAUAGCAAAAAACCGUACAUACUCAAAUCAAUUCUCAGUAUGCAUGUAACAAAAAAGGUAAUCUCCAAAAAACACAAAGAAAAAACAAACUUUAAUUUCUCAUGUAAGGGGUCUUUUAAGGGAAUGUAUGAUGGGAGUAAAAACUCUCCAUUCCCAUUUUGCAGAGGGUUCACAAGAAAAUAAGAAAAGGGAAAUUGGUUUCAUGCCUAGGUGCAACAAAAGAAGCAAAUUUACUAUCAAAGUACUCCUUCACAGCUGAUGUGUCCAGCUUAAGCAAUUCCUAAGAUACAGAAUCAAAGAGAGGUGCAUGAAAACAAGUUACUGAUACUUACCCAGGGAACAUCACACCAGCAUCGAUCAAAAUAUACCGAUCAAAAUUUCCAACAAGCAUGCAAUUCAUUCCAAUUUCUCCCAAACCACCAAUUGGAAGAACACGCAACGGUGGGCCAUCAGAACCUUCAUAGAACUGUUCCAUCUUACGUUGAACAGAAUCUUCCAUACUUUUUCGAGGUCCCUCGGCUCUUCCUCGAGAUCUUUUACGAGGUUCUCUCGACCCACCACGUGAACCUAACACAAAACCAAGCAAUUAUGAUAUGCACCCAUAAAAAUAUAUAUAUCAAUACACCCUUAUAAAAAUUUAAAGGUAUCUAAAUCCUCUACAUGUAAAUUGGACAACCAAGCAAUAAAAACUGAAAAUUUCCCAAGUGUGGUUACAUUUCGUGUUUUCCUCUUUUCUAUAUCUCCGAUUUUAACAAAUAAAACCAGUAAUUCUGUUUUCUGCAAACUUUUCUUCCUAAAUGACAUUAUCAUACUAAAUAAUUUAACACUUAUUUGCAUAAAAUGCAAUAACAGAAAGGGUAAAACACAAAUUUCUUAAUUAGACAGAAAAUAGCAAGAAAUAAAAAUCGCAACAAGAAAAUAGAGCAAGGCAAACUAAAACAUAACAAAUACUGCUUCAUCCUGAGCUAACAGCACUAAAAAUUACAAACCCUAUGGAAAUAUUCACUGAAAUUAAGACAAAAAGAUAAGAACUUCAUUGCUUGUAAAUUUUACAGUUCAUUACCUAUAGUUGAAGUAGAAUGCGAAGGUCCACAGCAAGAAAUGCAUUGUCUACUAGGAUUUGGGUUAGCUGCUCGAAAUAGAGAACCCUUGUGAGCAUAAGGAUAGAGUGAAACUGCACUGAAACUGAUAGCAGCCAUGUUUUCAGUCGAAAUUAAGUAAGUUCUUCCUGUUCAAUUUCUACAUAAGUAGAAUUUUAUUGAUGAAAGUGCAUUUAGAAAUGCGUAUUUGAUCUGAAAUUGGAAUUUGGGACGAAGGUUUUGGGAAAUUGAAUUGAAACCCUAACGAGAGAGCCUUCAGAGUGUUUGGAGGGCCUUAAUAGGGGCGGGAAAUGGAGAACAAGAACAGAGAUAUGAUAGAGAGAGAGUAUGGGUAAAAUAUCUUAUUUAUAUUCUUUUUUCUUAGGAGUAUCAUUUUCGGCUAUUUAUACUUAUACGUAUUAUCAGGACUCUGUUUGGAUUGGAUGAAAGGAAACAAAAGGAAAGAAAAGAAUAUCAAUGGAUUAAAAAAAAAAGGAGUAGAGGAAAGUGAUUUCCUUUCAUCUUAUUUCGAUUCAGUAUGGAGGAAAAGAAAAGAAUUGAAUUUUUGUUUGAAUUGAAGAAGGAAAUGAAACAAUGAAUUGUUAAUUUAUUAAAAAAAUAGAGAAAAUCAUCAUUUAAAAUAAUUUAAAAUAAUUUUAAUUAAUUUAGUUUCAUUUCUCUCCAUUUUCGCCCACUAUUAACUGAAAAUGUGAGGACUCGAAUUUUAUUUUACUUACUUUUAUUUAUUUUACUGACUUAUUUAAUUAUUUAUUUAUUCGUUUACUCCAAUUAAUUUAUUUCACCCAUUUUAAUUUCAUUUGCAUUGAACACUAUCCCAUUUUAUAUUUUUAAAAACGUUUGCUAGUAAAUUUAAUUUUUCUACGGCUCGAUUAAUUAGAAAUAGUGAAUACACGUUUUUCGAGAUAAAAUUCGGUCCGAGAGUGCAGUGGUCUUGGAGAAUUAAAAGUGAUCAAUAGUAGACUAAGAAAAGUUAAUUGAAAUAUUAGAGGUGAGCGAGUUAAAUUAAUCUCAAAUAGGAAUACUAAUUGCCCACUAUUAAUUUGUUGACUUUUUAUACUAAAGUACCUUUAUGUCACUUCUACCUUUUCAUUCCAUCACUUCACCAACAUCACACACAAACCCUUUCUUCCCAUCCUCUCUUGCCCGACCCUUCCUUCACCCUUUCUUACCAAAAUUUCAGCUAGCUUUUCUUCCAUUUUUGCUCGAAAAACACACUCCAAACUUGCUCCUUUUCUUGGAACAUCACUCAAGUUUGAAGGAAGAUUUGAAGGAGGAAGGAACCUUGGUGGUUUAGAGUUUAAACUCUAGUGAUUUGGUCUUCAUCUCUUGGAAGUAAGAUAACACCUCAAAACUCUUAAGCCUUGUUUGGAUUGCUUGUUUCCGUCGGAAAAUAUUAUCGUUUUCCGUGAUCAUAUUUCCCUAUCACCUUUUUCCCUCACAUAUAUCAAAUCGCUACAGUAAUUUUUCCAUGAAAAAUGACGAAAAAUGCAAUCCAAACACAACCUUAUUUUUCCUUUCAACUUAUGGUUAGUUUAGUUAGUUUUAACUAGUUAAGCAUUGGGUUGUUGAUCGGUUCAAUGAACCUUGACUCUAAGUAGAUGUCUUGAGAUGGCUUCUUAGGUAGUGGUCUUGACGAAUUAUUGUGUGUUUAGUUGUUUGUUUGAUGUUUGUUUUGAUGAAUUAUGUCUUAGUUUUGGUUGGGAAAGUUGAAAAGAAAACUUGAAAAAAGGAAGAAGCAUGCUGUCCAAAAUUUUACUGGUUGAUUCCCUUAUGUUAAUUUCGAAUUUAGUGGUUAUUUUGGUGCCAAAAUGCUUGUUAUAUGUUGGUGUUUAUGUGUGUCAAUUAUCUCUCAAAAAGUAUUUCAUUUGGUUGAAUUAAAGUUGGGUUAAAGUGAGAAUGCAAAUCUGAAAAAUUUCUGAUCAGGAUACCAGACCAGUGUGUACGUAUCAGCCCAUAACUUUUCGUUCAGGAGUUGAAAUUAAGUGCUAUUUAUGGCAUCUGAAACUAGACUCUGAGAGCUUUCCAACGGUAUAAAAUGCACCUUCUAGUUCAUUUUCUAUGAGCCGUAGUGAACCGACAAAUUUGACUGAUUUUCCUCACUAUUUUCAUCUGAGAAACAAGCAUAGCUGCAAUUUGUAGCUCAUUUUCACCCAUCUUAUAAAAUGAAUUUUAAAACAGUUUCUUCUAGUGAAUUUUGGAAUUUUGAGUCUAGUUUUUAACGCCUCAAACCACAUGAAAUUUUGAGUUGUGUAGCUUUAGUUAUGGCCAUAUUUUGAAACUGUGUCAGGUGCUCCAAAACUGGAAAUUCCGUGAAUCAGGUCCCAAAAAUUAGCUUUCCAAAAACUGUUGUAUCUUGGUAUAGAAAGGUCCGAAUUGGGUUCCGUUUGGUGGUUUUGAAACUAGAUUUGGAGUUCUAUUAUUGGUAUAAAUUUCAAGGGUUGAUUCUAUUUCUAUGAAUUUUGCGAAAUUUCCAAAAUUUACUGAACAUGCAAGACUGUUUUGCUCUGUUCUUGCUAGAACAGUGAGUUAGAGCUAAAAUUUGAAUGAUUUUGGAUUUGAAUCUAGGAAAAGUGUUUUCUAGAGAGUUUUAGUACAUUAAAUCUAGUUUCCAACGGUAUAAAAUUUCUAAUUUUUGGACUUACGAAACUCGAGAUAUGAUUUUUUUAAGUAGUGUCACACAAAGCCAGAAUUUUCUGGUUUCAAACAUAAUGCUGUUUUAAAAACUCUCAACUUUCCUCUGAGAUUGUUAGUUCAUUUUAAGUUUGAUUUUAUCGAUGGAUACAAGGUCUCUUUGAACAUUAGACCUUCAUUUUGAAUCUUGGUUCCCAAAGGAUUAAACUUCUCUUGAUGCGUUUUCUUGGUUGCCUAACUUUCUUAGUUAAUUGCACCUCAAUUCAUACUUGAGAAAUGGAUUUCAACCCCUAGUUUUAUGCCCUUAAUUUCCAUGACGUUGAACUCGAAAAAAGGAGCAUUUUAGCUAGAGUAAUUCUUGGAGAAUUUCACUAGUUUAUACUCGAAACUUGGAAUCUUUAGCUUUAAAAUUUACUAAGGAAAUGAGUGGAGUUUUGAUGAAUUCUGACUCCAUUAGUUUAGAAAAUGUGAACGCUCCUUAUAUUCUAAAACUUGGGCGUAGGACUAGAAGUUUUGAGAGAUGAAAAUCAUCUUCCCUUUUCUCGAUUUUCGUGCCAAAAGUAAAAAUGGUACUUUCUUUUGGAACUGAAGGUUCUUGCCAAGACUUGACUCAAAAAUGACUUUUGAGUUUCCUUUGAGUAUUAUUUCAAUAAUUUAGCGAGCAAGGCUCCUUUAACUUGACUCGAACUUGUGACCUUGAGAGUGGGUAGCAAGAAGAUGUUUUUCUUAUUAGCCUUAGUCGAGUACCUAGCUAAUCGUAAUUGUGCAUGUCUCAGGUGGUCACGUGGACGCCGAGAAGCUUGUUUGACCUCUCGCUUUUGCUCUUAUUUUGCCCUUGACUUUUGGUGAGUGUCAAGUGCAUGUUCAAUAUUACUAUGAUUGAAAUAAUUUUUGUACAAGUGCUAUAUGAUACGUGAACUUGCCGAGGCGAGAGUGUACUUUACCGCCUUCGUCCUCUCUCUCUCUCUCUUGAUUAAAUGAUAUUUGUUACAUGAAUGUUUGUGAUUUGCACUUGUACCCAAACAUGUUUUAACUCGUGAGCACUAAGCGGCAGCAUAUACCACACCCUAUUCGGGUGGGAGGUGCCUCUCAUACCGACUCAGUGCUAUAAUCGAUUCUCUGAGCGGCAGCAUGUACCAUACCCUAAUCAGGUGAGAGGUGCCUCUCAUACCAACUCAGAGCCAUGAACAAUUCUAAGUCGAUUGAGCGUUGUCUCAUCGAUCAAUUAUACUUGUGGGGAAGCCCCAACUCAUUGGCUAAUCUCGUAAUUCGAGUCGGCAAGGGUUUGGUCGAGAAGUUUGGUGAACCAUGGGAAAUUUUAUAACUUGAUCUUUUGAGAUCUUGCUUGGCAUACUCGAUUAGUAUCUCCAUCUCAUGCUUGUUUGGUUCCGGAUCCAAGUGGGUGUUAUGUUGGAUAGAGAAAGUAAGUGGAGCACUACGGUCUUGUUGUUACUUGAGUUGAUGGAGAGUCAACCUCGAAUGGCUUGAAUCAAUCGGGACGUGGAAAUAGCUCCUGAGAGCUCCUGUAUCCUUCCAUGUGUAUUUAAUUCCUACUUGUGUACUCAAAUGAAAUUUCAUGUGAACGUUGCUUUCAAGUAUAUUAUUUGAUUGAUUAGUGCUACUUGCUUGCUUGCUUGAUUUUCUUGGCCUCACUGAGCGUUAGCUCAUCCCUUUAAUUUUGUUUUCCUUAACAGGACUUGGAGGUGGAAGUUGGUGAUUCUAGAUUAGCGAUUUUUGGUGGAAGCUAGUAUAUCUUUUGUAUGUUAUGAGAGACAUUUGAAGUGAACAUUUUGUUAUACUUGGAGAUUCUGAAUUGUAAUUGUAAAUGCUAGCCUUUGAAGUUUUGGCCUUGUAUAUUCGAAGUAUUUCUUAAUUAAGUCCAUGGUUAAUUUGUGUCUCUUUAUUAAGCUUGAACGAGUGUGUGAGUCCUGACGAGAGUUGGGCAGGCGUUCUGCUGAUAUUCUAGGGUUCGCCCUAGGGAGAGGUGGAGGCAUCACAGAAAAACUAUAACUUAACAAAAUAAUUAGACUCUUUCCCUCCGUUUCCUUCCUAUCCUUCCCUUUCCCUUGCUUUCCCUCACCAAAAUAUCAAUCCAGAAUAGAAUCAAGUGUAGCUUGGUCAUGUUGUUGAAGUAAAGAUGAGUUACUAAUAAGCGUCAAGAGUUAAAAUUGCAACUAGUUCUUAAUUUUCUAAGCAAUAAUUAGCUCGUGAGAAAAAUAACUACAAAAUAAAUUAUAGAAACAUGUAUAUUAAAGAUGAAUAACGUUAUUAUAGGGUGACUUCAACGUGAGAGCAUGUCAAAUUACAUAAAAACCCAUUACUUUCAAUUCUUCAUUCUUUCUAAUCUAAAAUAUCAACUAAUCAACUUGAUCCCUUAAUUCAUCCUUUCCCACCCAUUUUAGUCCUUGACUUCUAGGCCUUUCCUUAUCCUUUUCAUUGCUGCCACUAACUAGAUGUAAAUGUUGGUUAUUGUGGUGGUUGUGGACCUUGUGGUGGUGAUGUGCGUGGUAGACUAGUGGAGCCCUUUCCACAUUUGUCUCCCUCCUCAUCUCUUUCCCUAAUGCCCCAUCUGAUGGUGUAUGGUAAUUCUGGUGGACAGUCUUAAUGAUGAUGUGUAUGGUAGAUUGGUGGAGCCUUUUUUCUUCCGUCUCUUAUCAUUGUGUACCUGAUGUUGCCAAUUAGAUGGUGUGAUUUUGAUAAUGGUGGUAGCAGUGGUUGGGGUAGCGAUGGAGUGUGGUGAGCUAGUGCUGGUGAUGCUCUAUGGGAUGAACUGGUGGAGAUAGUGGCAGUAGUUUGCAGGUAGUAACAUAAGCGAAGGAUAGCAUAGGAAAUUGAGAACAAAAAGAAAAAAAAUGUGUGCUGCCAUGUUGAUGGCACUAGCAUAUCUUAAUUUACUUUCAUAUUUUGUAGCAAUGCUAAUUAGAGAUACCACAAUAUCAAGAAUGACUAAAAAGUAACAAAUCAUUUAUGGAGUAGAAGCUUGCCAGUGGACUUCAUAUUGUCAAUAUAGAGAUUCCAUACUCAAAUAGCACUAAAUGUAAAUUUAUUUAAUUACAUGUUAAUUUUUAUCUCACUAUUUGUGGAUUAUUAGUUAUAUCGUUUUAUAGUUAAAAUUUGUACAUAGUGUACCCACCAAUGUGAAAUAUUUGUAAUCAUAUCAAAAUUAGAGAAAAACACCAUAUUAAAUGAACUUAUAUUUAUACACACACACACACACAAGGAAAGUACACGUGCGUUGCACGUGUUUUAUUGUACUAAAACGGCAAAGAAUUAACAAAAUGUAAAUAGAAAAACUUAUUUUAAAAGUUACCUUUUCUAUGGAGCCAUGUUGACUAAUUGUGUAUCUAUUUUUUCCCCUUAUUACUGUUUUCUCUUCAAAUGAUCUCUAAUCUUUUCAUUUCUUUUAUAAUCAUUUGUCUUUAUUUGUUAGCUAUACUGUGUUGAUGCAUAAACCUCUAAAAAUCAUUGCAAUAAAUAAGAAUAUUGUAUGAUACUUUGCUUUCAAGUUAUUUGUGUAAAAUAACAAAUAUGGUUACUAUAAAAAAUGUAAAUGCCAUAAUUGAUAGAAUCCAUUUGAGUGCCUAUAAAUCAUUUGAUAGGUAAGUAUCACCUAUAAAUUGUCUUUUUAUGAAACUAAGAAAUGAGAAGAAGGUAUAAUAAAGAACUUGGUCUAAGUUGCCACUAAAUUGAUUUGAUGUAAAACACAAAUUAGUCCAAAAAUUGUAGUAGAAAAGAUGAAACAGAACUAUUACUAUACAAUGAGAAGAAAAGCUUCUAAUUGGUGACAUACUUGAUGCAAAAAAUUAAUUCAACAAGAUGUCCCAUAGAAGUGCUUGAGUAUAUGGAAUCAUAACAUCAUUUUUUCAGUGCCAAAAAAAAAAAGAAAAUUGUUUUGGUACAACAUUGUUAAUAAUAUUGAUGUAUUAUUUAGUAUCUAUUCAUUUGUUGAAAGUCAUGCACAUAUCAAUGGAUACAACUUAAUUGCACACAUUUGCUAAGAUAUAAUAAGCCACGUAGGUUAAAAGGAGAAGAGAUAGCAUAGACUUGCUAAUUGAGAACUUUUUAUUUUUGUAAGUUUAUGUUAGUAUGCAUAAAAUCUAUUUACAUUUUUUUAGUGUGCAAGUGCUGAGACCUCCCAUUUACACUCACUCCCUCUGUACUACCCAACCCAUCCCACCCCACAACAUAAAAUAUAUUUACUUAAUACUAUUUUCGAUAGCUUAAAUAGUUAAAUAUAAAAAAAGGUAAGAAAUGAUAUAAUUUUAUAAAAAAUUUUGAAACAAACAUACAUGUAUAUAUAUGAGUGUGAAUUUUUUGUUCUUUCAUUUAAAAGUCAUAAGUAGCUGUUUAAUUGAUUUUUUUGAUUUUUUUUCAUAAGUAGCUGUUUAAUUAAUAUCAACUUAAACUUUAAUUUAAGGAUUUGCUAGUUAGUACAAUUAUUAAGUUAUAGAGCUUCCAAAUUGAUUCUAUACAUGUUGGCUAGAGAUAGGAUUCAAAAUUGGAUAAGCAUAAGACUUCAUAAAGAGGAAAAUAUUAUAUUGUUUGGAAUGCAAAUUUUUGCUAAACAGUCGAUAUGUGAAGAAGUUUUCAUUCCAUUAAGUCAAGCUUCUUAAUGGGUUUUGUGAUUCCUAUCUUCAUUAUCAACUUACAAUAAAAUUAGCAGAAAGAAAAUUUAUGUUUAUGAGAUUGUUUCCUUGAUGCUCUCUUCUAAUAUAAACUUGAAAAGUAUAAUAAGGACAUAAAAAUUCAUCCCUUUUAAAAAUCAACCACCAUUAUUGAUAGACCUGAACUUCCUUCACAGACUUAAGCUCUGUAAGUCAAAGUCUUGGAGUAAAAUUCUAUAUUAAAAGUUUGUAAGUUAGUGAUAAGAAAAGUCUAGGAAAAAGGCCAUAAUAAUGGUUAGAAUCUGAUAAAAAAGAAUAUCAUAAUGAUGUUUAACAUGGUCAAUAUAAUCACUAUUACUAGUGCAAAGAAUAACAAAUUUCUCAACUAAUUAAUUUCAUCACUGUAACUUUUAUUAUUGAAAGUCCGAUUUUUUAGUUUUAUUCAGUGAGAAUUCUCUGCAAUUUUUCUGCUUUUAUCGAAUGCCAAACCAUAUAAAACAGCCUACUGAUACCAAAUAGCAUAUAGUAUCUAUCAAAGAAGGUUACAUUUUCAAAGGAAAUGAACAAUUUAGGAACUCCAAAAAAAAAAAUCAAGAAGUCCUCAUACUAUUAAGAAUAAGCAGAACUCAAAGUUGGUGCAAGUAAAUUAAUUAAUCUUCAUCAAACUCAUACAAUAUUCAUGUAAAAGGAGCAUUACGAAAUCUAAUUUUGUAUGCACAACCAAUUACACAUAGACCUAUACACUUGUAAACAAAGACAAUUAAUGUUUUUCUUUUUUCUCUGCAUAAUAGCUUAGAAUUUGAGGAAAAAUGUAGAAUCCCAAAAAAAAAAGGAAAAAAAGGCAAAGUACAUGAAGUUAAUUUAAGGCUUAUUCCACAUAUUUCAUACCUCAAAACUUUUUCAUGUUUGUGAGAACCCCGAAAAAAAAAA